UUUUUUUUUUUUUUUUCCUUUUUAGCAAUUGAUAUGGUCUCUUCGUUUUGUUGCUUUGAUAUUUUCAUACUCAUGAUAUUGCUUAAUUUGAGAUAACGAUAUUAUUAUCUUUUACUUCUGAAUAGAGCGAAAAUGAUACAAAAAAUUACUCUUACCAAUUUAGGAUUGAAGUGUAAUUAAUUGAUAACAGAAAAUUUUGGGACAAUUUCAGAUCUUCAUAACACUAAUGUCCAUUGUAAUUUAAGGACAAUUUCAGAUUUUAAUUUCUUUAUAAUGAUUAUUCUCCCUCUUCGCAAGGAGUUUCCCAUUUUGCUCCAUUGGCUACUCAACUCGCAACCUAAGGGUUUGAGGCAGAUGAAACUUACCACUUGAACAACCUUUGUUUGUCUUAUAUAACAAUUAUUUUAAUAUUUUAUUAUUAAUGUAAAAGGUUUACAAUUUGACUAGUUUACUCUUACUAAAAGGCUUUUUUGUUUGCUAAUGAAGCUAAAAAAAACUUGCAAAUUCAUUAAAUAAAAGAAUAUAUUAGUAAACGUAAAAUAGUCACUCUUUGACAUUUAACUAAAGAUAUUAAAGUAAUUAUUAAGAACAUCACAAGAUAUUAAAAUAUUUACAAAAAGUCAAAAUAAAAAAGAUAGACGUAAUAUCGGAGAGAUUAGUAUCACAAAAUAAAAAUUGAGGGGAAGUCUUUAUAAUUAUUCAUGUUAUUUAUCCUACCACUGAGUUGGGCCAAACUUGUAAUUAUUUUGAGGAAACUUUCUUUUGGUAAUAAAGUGGUGGAAAGGUGUUAUUCUAAUCCUGGUAGUUGGAGCACAUGAAUUCAUCUCAUGCCACAUUAUGUUGUCCCAAUUAUUCCUUGCUAUUUGUUGGCAAAAUUUAAGGUGAUAAUUGAUUCUCAAGAAUUAAGUCCAUCGGAUACUUUUAAUUCCAGACAGGCUUCUUUAGCUAUGAUAUCAUAAUAUGGUGCGGCAGACACCAACAGUUUAAUUAAUGCAUUUGACAGUUCUAUAACCUUUUUGCGUAAAUACGAUGUCAUGAUUAAAUAAUAUAUUAUGGUAAAAUAUACAUAGAAUAAUUAUAUUUAAGUAAUAGAAGUGCAUGAAAAAAAUACAUGUCAUGUAUUUAUUGUUUUGAUUUAAAUACUGAGUGCAUUUAUUUUCCGGAAGGUACAAUGCUUAGAAUAAAUUCAAGUUGCUUUCAUUUCAUUCUCAAUUUAUGCCUAAAAGAAAUGCUCUCUCGCUUUUUCUCUUAGAUGGCACUUCUCUUCUUCUCUAUUAAAAGUGCAACUUUUUGCACAUAGUGCAUAUAGUGAGCACACUCGAAUUUACAUUGGCACAGGCUUAGGAGGAAGUCAUGUAUUCAAACAAGCUCAAAAGUUGAAAAAGUGUGUAUUGAUCGUUCACUUGUAAUAUGUUAAGAAACUUAGGUUAUGGUUGUUUGCCCGAAAAAUGAAUAGAGUUGAAUUUAUACGUAGUUCUAAGAGUACGUGGUAUAACUUGGCACAAAUCAGAAAAGUAAGUAGCAAUAUAUUGGGUAUUGACAGUAUGAAGAAUGAAAUACCAAUCAAAUUGAAAUAGAAAGCUAUUUUAUGAACAAGCAAGAUGAAUCAAUGAAUAUAGCUCACAAGAGGAUAAUCUCAAUAUAAAUAUCAGUAUGUUUUUCUCUGUGAAUAUCAAUAAUAUGAGAGUGUGUCAAUGCCUUAAAAAUGUCCCCCUUCACUAAAAUAAUAGUUACCCCUCUUGUAGUGGAGGAAUCUUACUUUAAAUAUAAUUAAAAAUAUAUAAUGGGGAUUCCAUGAUAGAAUAGUUUUUUCCUAAUUUCCGCUAAGAUUCUCUCUCCUUAGUGCGACUAUAACGGCUCUUGUCCCUUUGCUCGAUCUUGAUCGGACUUGGUAUUGGUUGGUUUCCAGAUUUAGAGCCCGAUAUUGACUCGGGUCUGGUAUUGACUCGGGCUCGGUAUUGGUCGGUCUCUGGCUCUCAAGCUCGAUGACGCUGCUUCGCAUCAUAGUUCAAUUUGGAUUAGAGCUCGGUAAUGACUUUGAGUUUAAUAUUUGAUCGGUCCCAGAAAUUAUAGCUCGGUAACCUGGCUUCGGAUCUCAUACCUGAUAUUAUGAAGAUGACAUUCGGUCCAUUAUGUUCCAACCUUGACUAAUCAUAUGAAGGUCGAAACCAGUUUUGACCGUAUACAGAUAGUCCCCUCGUUUCUCGGGAAGAAUAUGGCAAGAAACUACAUAAUUUUCAAGCGGUAUGACUCGAUACAAACUGACGUUUGCAUAGAGCUCGACCAUGACGUACGUGAUAGAUGUCCCGUCGAUUUAGUUUACCAAGGCAUUAAAUGCGUGUCAGACGAUGGUCGGCCAUCGUCGACACUAAACCGGCAUUGCCAACCCUUUAAAUAGCCCCUUUUUUUACCAUUUUUUACUUUUACAUCUCCAAAUCUUCUAAGUUCCCUUUCACAUCUUCUGAGUUCUUCAUCUGUAAAUUUGUGAUUUUCACUGCAAAAUCCCUAUUUUUGAACACCAAAUCUUGUCAUCUUCCUCUAUCUUCAAUCUUCAGAUCCUAAUGGGGAAAACAUCAAAAAUCGUUCCUCAAAAAGAAAAAGCUUAUUCUUCGCGGCCCACCGACGACAAAACACCGGUGAAGCCACGACCUGAGGAAUGUGUUCCCGGGGGGUGUGUUCUUACCUUCAAUUUUAAGAUCGACAAAGCUUCAUCGGUCCCCGGUCAAUGCGAGCCAGUAUCGAGAUAUAUGUGCUUGAUAACCGAGGGUCAUCUUAAACAGUUAAGAAAAGAUUGCAACUAGGAGGACAUAGAAGUGCUAAUCCCAAUUCCCGAAGAAGAUAAUACUACUGAUGUGAAAGGUUUUCUAAGUGUGUACACUUACCCUUUCACGUUGAUCCCCCUCGACCCUGUUGUCAUUGAUUUUUGCCGCCAAUACCAAGUAACUCUAGGCCAAAUCCACCCUUCUUUUUCGCAGAUCGUUAUUCUGAUCUGCUUCUUUGUGAACAAAGUCGAGGGGAUGCCUUUCACCCUCGACCACCUCAUUAGACUGUAUAGCCCAUGCCUCUAUCUAGGUGGGUUAAUUAAAACUAGNNNNNNNNNNNNNNNNNNNNNNNNNNNNNNNNNNNNNNNNNNNNNNNNNNNNNNNNNNNNNNNNNNNNNNNNNNNNNNNNNNNNNNNNNNNNNNNNNNNNNNNNNNNNNAGUUUACAGGAGGAUAUUUUUGCCGCCAAUACCAGUAACUCUAGGCCAAAUCCACCCUUCUUUUUGGCGGAUCAUAAUUCUGAUCCGCUUCUUUGUGAACAAAGUCGAGGGGAUGCCUUUCACCCUCGACCACCUCAUUAGACUGUACAUGCCCCGCCUCUAUCGAGGUGGGUUAAUUAAAACUAAUGGUAAAUUGCUUCUCUAUUGACUAAAUAGACUUCCACCAUCGGGAUACCAAAGUAAUGUUCUUGAGCAUAGACGAGGACAAAGACCGGGGCGGAAUGGGCAGGUUCGUUUGAGUGAAGACUUCGGGCCUAAUCCCAGCCGAGAAGAUUUCAUUUCCCGAAGAAUGCCGAGCGCUCGUGGCACGAUUUAUCAAAGGGCCGAUGGGAGGCCAAAAACCAUGGUAAGCCUCUUUCCCAUGUCUUUGAUAAUUCGAACAAAAUGUUUUUCUUAUACUUAAUAAAUAUUUUUGUUUGUAGGCCUGGGCAAAGAUGCGACUAUGAGGCCCCCGUCUAGCAAGGAAAAUACUUUGGCCCCGGUUCCGAAACCGGCGAAAGACAACAAAAGAAAAAGUGACUCUACCUCUGAGGAUCCAAUACUUAAGACGAAGACGACUCGUAAGCCGAGGAAGAAUACCAUCCCUCUGACCGAAGAAUCAGUUCGGCACCUAAGGGAUGAAGACGAAGAAGAAGAUGAUGAUGAUGAUGACUUCGGGCUAAUGUCCUAAGUGAAAAUGAGCGUCGAGGCUCCAAAGGCUACUGAAUCGAUGAAGACUGCAAAGAUUCUAUUUUGCGAUGAGGGAGUCUCUGGAAGAGAAUUGGUCGAAGUCCCCGAGUCAUCGAGGAUCGAGGCUACCUCCCACCAUAAUGAGCCAAUGGUGGGUACAGUUGUGGGGGCUGGGCUCAAGGCUCCUCGAGAAGAAGAGAACGCCCCAAGUGCUUCACUUGGGGAAGCUCCCCUCAUUUUCUGAGGAAAUGAUUCGAGAGGCUCGGGCCUUGAAGACCCUUUCUAUCGAAGGAGGUCACGGAAGGGAGGAUCCCUUUCAUGAUUAUUUUACUGGGGUCAAAGAUACUACCGGCCUGAGCGAUUUGGAAGUCUCGAGGAAGGACUCGGGUGAGGCAUCGGGCCUUUUUAAUGAAGUGCAGCGAGCUCUGAGUCGGGUAAGUCUUAACUCUCUUGGUUAGUAUUAUCUCUGUGUUUGUUUUCCUCUUCUAACUUCUUUUCUUUCUGCGUAGGCCUCAGCGCUUCAUCGGGAAACAUGUUUUCGGUCCCGAGCUAAGAUGAGUCGGUACGAGGCCGACCUCUGAAGGCUCACGGAGGAGAGAAAUACCCUCAGACUUAGUUGUGAGCAAAGAGAAGAGGAGACAAAGGACCUCUGAGCCGAGUUGACCAAGGCUCACCAAGAUCAGACCGAUCUAACCGAGCCGGUAAUGAAAAUCUUAAAAACGCAUGGGCUCGAUUCAGGAUCGGAGGCUAAUAUUUCGAUCUCACACCUGCAGUAGAAGCUCGAGAUGAUCGGGCAGCUCCGUGAGGAGGUCGAUAUAAUAAAGGCGCAGACCUUGGGGUGGAAAGAAUGUAUGGACCGCCUUGCUGCAGAGAAAUAGGAUGUUCGAGCCUAAUUAUUAUCGGUCGAAAGUCAACUUCAAGGCAUGAAGGAGAGGAUCUCAGUUGAAGCAUGAAAAACAGAGGAGCUUGAAGCUCGGUUGACUUCCGAACUUGCCAAGGCCAAAUCUGAAGCUGAAAAAGCAAAGUCUGAGGCGGAUACAUUCGUGGCUAUUUAUCGGGCCGAUGCCGAAGCCGCUCAAGUAAAAGCGAGAAAGGUAGCCGAUACCGCUCAAACUCGAGCAUAUUGGGUUGCUGAACUCGCCAAAUGCCAAUCUCGGAGGGAAACUCUCGAGAAAAUUCAUGCUCUAGGUUUCGAUCUAACCGAAUAGAUAAAAAGGCUAAAGAACUUGAAGUCGAUGUCGGAGCCCUGGCUUCCGAUGAUGAUGAUGAGAGCAAGAGCGAGUCUGAGAGAGGGGAGGAGCUCGAUGGAGAAGAGGCUACUCUCGGAGAUAAUUAGGAACCUUAGGGUUUUUUUGUUUGAUCUUUUUUGUGUAGGGUCCUGAUCGGACCUUGUAAAUACUCAUAUAUAUGAAGAUCUUUUCCUUUCCCGAUUUGUCUUUGUUUCAUUUUCUGCCUUGUGAAAACUUUGUUUCAUUCGUGCCUUAUGAAAACUUUGUUUCAUUCAUGCCUUAUGAAAGUUUUCAAUUGUUCGAGGCUUUAGGCAAUUUGAUCAAAGUCGAACCUUGAAGUCUUUAUAACCGAGUGAAUGAUUGCUCAGACUCGAAGUAAUAUAGCUUGUAGGCUUAAUAAUUGAGUGAGUGCUUGUUCGAACUCGAAUUAAGAGUAGCCCUUAGGCUUUAAUAGUCGAGUGAGUGCUUGCUCGAACUCGAAGUAAUGUAGCCUGUAGGCUUAGUAGUCGAGUGAUGAUUUCUCAAACUCAAAAUAAGAUUAGGCCUUACGCUUAGUAGUCGAGUGAGUGAUUGCUCGAACUCGAAGUAAUGUAGCAUGUAGGCUUAGUAGUCGAGUGAGUGAUUGCUCGAACUCAAAAUAAGAUUAGCCNNNNNNNNNNNNNNNNNNNNNNNNNNNNNNNNNNNNNNNNNNNNNNNNNNNNNNNNNNNNNNNNNNNNNNNNNNNNNNNNNNNNNNNNNNNNNNNNNNNNNNNNNNNNNNNNNNNNNNNNNNNNNNNNNNNNNNNNNNNNNNNNNNNNNNNNNNNNNNNNNNNNNNNNNNNNNNNNNNNNNNNNNNNNNNNNNNNNNNNNNNNNNNNNNNNNNNNNNNNNNNNNNNNNNNNNNNNNNNNNNNNNNNNNNNNNNNNNNNNCCCAUCCAUGUUUCUGAUCGAACACCUGCAAGGGUUAAUUUCGACAUAUAAACGAACAUAAGAAGGUCGUACCUUAACAGUAGUAUCGUUUUAGGUGCGCCAUAUUCCAAUUGCUUGGUAGUUGUUUGUCGUUUAUUACACCGAGCUUGUAGGAUCCUUUUCCGACGAUUUCGAGAACCUGAUACGGUCCUUCCCAAUUCGGACCCAGUUUUCCUUCAUUUGGAUUUCAGGUGUUGAGGGUGACUUUCCUUAGCACCAAGUCCCCGAUUUUAAAAUAUCGAAGAUUGGUUCUUCGAUUAUAAUACCUUUCGAUCCGUUGUUCUUAGGCGGCUAAUCGGACGAGAGAUGCAUCUCGUUUUUUGUCCAAUAAUUCUAGGCUCGUGUUCAUCAUCUUGUUAUUCGACUCAUUUGUUGCAUAUCAAAACAUGAUGCUAGGUUCUCCUACUUCAACCGAGAUAAGAGCUUCGGCUCUAUAAACCAACGAAAAUGGUGUCGCCCGGUACUCGAUUUCGAUGUUGUGCGGUAAGCCCAUUAGACUUCGGGUAGUAUUUCUCUCCAUUUUCCUUUAGCGUCGGUUAAUCUUUUCUUAAGAUUUUGGGUGAUGGUUUUGUUGGUCGAUUCGGCCUGUCCAUUUCCAUUGGGAUAAUAAGGUGUUGAUAAGAUCCUUUUGAUUUUGUGGUCUUCGAGAAAUAUGGUUAUUUUGCUUCCGAUGAAUUGCUUUCCAUUGUCACUUACAAUCUCGGAUGGCAUCCCGAACCGACAUAUGAUGUGGUCCCAAAUGAAGUCUAUCACCUCAUUUUCUCUGACUUUCUCAAAAGCCUGUGCUUCAACCCAUUUAGAGAAAUAAUCAGUCAUAAACAAAAUAAAUUGAACCUUACCUGGUGCCGAUGGGAGGGUGUCGACGAUGUCCAUUCUCCAUUUCAUAAAAGGCCAAGGAGCUAGGACCGAGUGGAGAAUUUCCCCGGGUUGAUGAAUCAUGGGCGCAUGUCUUUGACAUUUGUCGCAUUUUCGAACGAACUCCCUUGCAUCUUUGUCCAUAUCGAUCCAAUAAUAUCCUGCUCUGAUUAUUUUGUGGACCAAUGAAUCGAAACCGGAAUGAUUCCCACAAGUGCCCUCGUAAAUCUCACGUAGGAUGUAGUCGGUAUCUCUCGGUCCCAAACAUAUUGCCAGUGGACCAUCGAACGUUCUUCUAAACAACGCCCCAUCAUUGGAUAAGGUGAACCAUGCAGCUUUUGUGCGUAGAGAUCUCGAUUACUUUAGAUCCGAUGGAAGUUUCCCAUUUUUGAAGUACUCUAUAUAUUUGUUUCUCCAAUCUUGGGUUAGACUUGUGGAGUUAUCUCGGCAUGACCUUCUUUGAUUACCGAUUUCAUGAGUUGUAUGUCAGUCCCCGAGUUGAGCUCGUCAUCUUCGACCGAAGAACCUAAGUUUGCAAGAGCGUCGGCCUCACUGUUCUGCUCUCGAAGUACAUGUUGCAAAGUUCAUUACUUAAAUCGAUGUAGAGUCACUUGCAAUUUAUCCAAGUACCUCUGCAUUCGAUCUUCUCGAACUUCAAAAGUCCCGUUGACAUGAUUUACCACGAUGAGGGAAUCACAUCUAGCCUCCACGACCUCAGCUCCCAAACUUCUAGAUAGUUCGAGACCUGCAACCAUGGCCUCAUACUCGGCCUCAUUGUUAGUCAAUUUUGUAGUUUUAAUAGACUGUCUAACUAUAUUACCUGUGGACGAUUUUAAUACAAUGCCCAGUCCGGACCCCUUUGCAUUCGAGGCACCGUCCGUAAAGAGGGUCCAGAUUCCCGAAGAAGUACCCGAUUUUAUUAGUAAUUCCUUUUCUACCUCGAGUACAAAGGCCGGCGUGAAGUCAGCCACGAAGUCCGCUACGAUUUGAGAUUUGAUAGCGGUUCGAGGUCGUUACUUGAUGUCGUACCCGCCGAUCUCUAUGGCCCAUUUGGCCAAUCGACCUGAAAGCUCAGGUUUGUGUAAAAUAUUUUGCAGAGGGUAAGUUGUUACAAUAUAUAUCGGAUGGCAUUGGAAAUAUGGUUUUAAUUUCCUAGAGGCACUUAUUAAAGCAAGCACUAAUUUUUCUAAGUGUGGAUAUCUAGUUUCGGCCUCGCCUAGAGUUCGACUGACAUAAUAAAUAGGGAAUUGCGUACCUCGUUCUUCUCGAAUUAGGACUCCACUUACCACUACCUCCGAGACAGCUAGAUACAGGUAAAGUUGUUCGUCUGAUUUCGUUGUAUGAAGCAACAGAGGGCUCGAUAGAUACCUUUUUAGCUCUUCCAAAGCCUGUUGACAUUCCAGAGUCCACGAAAAAUUACUUUUCUUUUUAAGCAAAGAGAAAAAUCGGUGGCUCAUAUCCGAGGAUCUCGAAAUGAAUCAUCCCAGGCUGUCUAUCCGUCCAAUUAGCCUUUGCACGGCCUUUACAUUAUCUACCAACGUGAUGUCCUUGAUUGCUUUGAUUUUAUCGGGGUUAAUCUCCAUUCCUCGAUUGGACACCAUGAAACCGAGAAACUUACCUGAGCCAACCCCGAAAACAUAUUUUUUGGGAUUGAGCUUCACAUUGAACUCUCUUAGUAUGUCGAAAGUUUCCUGUAAAUGCUUUAAAUGGUCCUCUACUCGCAGGGAUUUGACUAACAUGUCAUCAAUAUAAACUUCCAUUGAUUUUCCUAUCUGCUUUUCGAACAUUCUAUUUACUAGGCGUUGAUAAGUUGCACCAGCAUUAUUUAGGACAAAUGGCAUUACAUUAUAACAGUAGGUCUCGUACUUAAUGAUAAAUGAGGUCUUUUCCUGAUCCUCCGGGUUCAUCUGUAUUUGGUUGUACCUGGAAUAGGCAUCGAGAAAACUGAGAGUCUCGUGGCCGGCCGUGGCAUCGAUCAUACGAUCAAUAUUAGGCAAAGGAAAAGAGUCCUUAGGGCAUGUUUUAUUCAGGUCUUUAUAAUCUAUACACAUUCUAAGUUUUUCCCCUUUUUAGGGACUACCACCACAUUUGCUAGCCAUUCAGGGUAUUUUACUUCUCGAAUGGACCCUAUUUUGAGAAGUUUGGUUACCUCAUCUUUGAUGAAGGCAUGUUUGACCUCGGACUGGGGCCUUCUUUUUUAUUUUACCUAGUGGAAUUUCGGAUCCAAGCUUAGCUUAUGAGUGGUGAAUCCCAGUGGGAUCUCUGUCAUGUCAAGAUGGGACCAAAAGAAACAGUCUAUGUUAGCUAUAAGAAAUUGAAUAAGCUUUCUCCUAAGCUUGGGAUAUAACCUCGUGCCUAGGUAUACCUUUUCUUCAGGCAUAUAAUCGAUUAGUAUGACUUGCUCCAGUUCUUCGAUUGUUGAUUGGGUGGCAUCGGAAUCAUCGGGAACCACGAAAGAUCGAGGGAUCCUAUGUUCCUCAUCUUCGUCAGCCUUUUGAUUCUCUAAUUGGGUCGAAGCUGACGUUUGUAAUUUCUAUUUGGUAUUCCAUUUCUCCUUCGAAUCUGACCAUUUUGUUGAUGAUAACGACGACAUCGGAAUCACUUCUUCGACGACAAACUUUUUUUUUGCGGUCGGUUGCUCCCCGUAGACCGUUUUGAUCCCCUCCGAUGUUAGGAACUUCAGAACCUGGUGGAGGGUCGAGGGUACAGCUCUCAUAUUAUGGAUCCACGGCCUUCCAAAAAGGGUGGUGUACCUCAUAUCGCCUUUAAUUACGUGAAACUUCAUUUCUUGGAUGGUUCCGGCACGUUUAUUGGCAGAAUUAUCUCGCCUUUGGUAGUUUCACAUACCAUAUUAAAUCCAUUUAGAACCAGGGUUGUGGGUAAGACCUGGUCUUGCAGGCCGAGCUGCUCUACGACCUUCGAUCUAAUAAUGUUGGCCGAGCUACCUGGAUCGAUUAACACACGUUUAACUUUAGUUUUAUUCAUAAGUACAUAUAUUACCAGUGCGUCGUUGUGAGGUUGCAUGACUCAUUCUGCAUCUUCAUCAUUAAAGGACAGGGUUCCUAUGGGUGCGUAAUCCUAAGUUCGAGAUCAUUUUUCUAUUAUAACCGACAUCUUAGUGUGUUUAAGCACCGGCCCCUGAGGGUUAUCGAUCUCAUCAAUAAUCAUAUGGAUGAUGUGCUGUGUCUAUUCUUGUUCAUUUCGUCUGUUGAAAUCCCUAUAUUUGAAAUGAUUUUUGGCCCGGUCACUUAAAAAAUCUCGAAGGUGCCCUUUAUUGAAUAACCGGGCUACCUCAUCUCUUAGUUGCCUGCAAUCCUUCGUUCUGUGGCCAUGAGUGCCAUGAUAUUCGUACAUUUGAUUGGGAUUCCUCUGGGCAUGGUCGGUCUGCAUAGGUCGAGACCAUUUAGUAUCUUUGAUGCGCCCGAUAUCCGAUACGAUAGCGGAUGUAUCGAUGCCGAAGUUAUACUCUGACAACCGAGGUGCUUCCUUAGGUCCGGUAUGCCUGUCGAACCCACUCAUAUUCAUCAGCCCCCGAGAUCCUCGGCCUCGGUCCUUUCUAUUUUUUCCUCCUAUGGAGUUGCGUGAAAGUUCACUACUCCUACGAUCUCCGUUAUACGGCCGGUAUCGAUCCUUGUUUGACUUUGGUUCUUGGUCGAUACUCCUUUAACAUCAGACCCAGAACCCAACUGGUCGUCUUUGACUCUUAUUUUGGAUUGAUAUCGAUUGUGCACAUCGGCCCAAGUAAUAGCUGGGUACUCGAUCAGGUUAUGCUUCAGUCACCGUGAAGCCAUCAAGCUUUUUUCGUUUAGACCUUGAGCGAAAUCUUGAACAGCCCAAUCGUCUGUGACUGGUGGUAGAUCCAUUCACUCCAUUUGGAAACGAGAUACGAAUUCUCUUAGCAUCUCAUUAUCCUUUUGUAUUACCUUGAAUAGGUCCGACUUCCUGGUCUCGACCUUUAUGGGCAGCAUGUGCUUCUAUGAAAGAAUCUAUAAGCAUAGCAAAAGAAUCAAUAGAGUUAGAUGGUAAAUUAUGAUACCAUAUCAUUGCUCCCUUUGAUAGGGUUUCACCAAAAAAUUUCGAUAACACGGAUUUGAUCUCAUCAUCCUCUAGAUCGUUCCCUUUGAUGGUACAUAUGUAAUAGGUGACAUGUUCAUUGGGGCAGGUCAUCCCAUUAUAUUUAGGAAUCUCGGGCAUGCAAAACUUCUUAGGGAUCGGUUUAGGAGUCAUGCUCAGGGGGAAAGGCUUUUGUAUGAAUAUUUUGGAAUCCAAGCCCUUCAAUAUCCGUGGUGCCCCCGGGUUCUGAUCAACCCUGGAGUUAUAUGUUUUCAUUUUAUUGUCGUUUGCCUCGAUCCUCCUUUCUCCUGACUCUAUUCAUUUUAUCAGUUCUUCGAACAUCUUAACAAUUUCGGGAUUAGUCCUCGAUUCUUGCUCAUUUGACCUUACUAUAACUGGGCCCGUUUUGUGGGUGACUUCUUGGAGAGGACUAGUCUCGAGUCUGGUCGGUGCUUGGGUUUGGCUCUGCAACUGGGCUAUUUCUACUUGUUGAGAUUGCAACAUCUCGAAGAUCAUACGCAAGCUGAUUCCGUUUUCCUCAGCAUUUUGGGUAUUUCGAGCUGCAGACCGAGUUCCACCAUGAAUGUUGUUUUCAGGGUCGAAAUGUUGGUUCGCCUCGAUGGCCGCAUGUGAAUUGACGUCUAUUGGCUCUUCGACCCGAGCUCCAAGGGGAUCGACUAGUGGCCUUCCACCCCCGGGGGUUAAGUUGUUGUUCUCAUCUUGAAGGCCAGCUUCGUUGUAGAUGGGUAGGGACAUUAAUUGAGAAUUCAUCGUUUUCAACCUGAAAUCAAAGAUACUUCCAAGAGCAAGUGUAAAAUGGUGUGUUUUGUAGAGAUCCAUACCAAACAACCACUAUUAUCCUUAGCCCCACGGUAGGCUCCAAACUGUUUACCUGAAAAAUGGAUAGAGUUGAAUUUAUACGUAGUUCUAAGGGUACGUGGUAUAACUUGGCACAAAUCAGAAAAGUAAGUAGCAAUAUAUUGGGUAUUGACUAUAUGAAGAAUGAAAUACCAACCAAAUUAAAAUAGAAAGCUAUUUUAUGAACAAGCAAGAUGAAUCAAUGAAUAUAUAUCACAAGAGGAUAAUCUCAAUAUAAAUAUUAGUAUAUUUUUCUCUGUGAAUAUCAAUAAUAUGAGAGUGUAUCAAUGCCUUAAAAAUGUCCCCCUUCACAGAAAUAAUAGUUACCCCUCUUAUAGUGGAGGAAUCUUACUUUAGAUAUAAUUAAAAAUACAUAUUGGGAUACCAUUAUAGAAUAGCUUUUCCUUAAUUCCCGCCGAGAUUCUCUCUCCUUAGUGCGAAUGUAACGGCUCUUGUCCCUUGGCUCGAUCUUGAUCGGACUUGGCUCGAUCUUGAUCGGACAUAGUAUUUGUUGGUUUCUAGAUUUAGAGCCCGAUAUUGACUCGGGCUCGAUAUUGACUCCGGCCCGGUAUUGACUCGGGCUCGGUAUUGAUCGGUCUCUGGCUCUCAAGCUCGAUGACGCCGUUUCGCAUCAUAGUUCAAUUUGGAUUAGAGCUCGGUAAUGACUUCGAGUUCGGUAUUUGAUCGGUCCCAGAAAUUCUAACUCGGUAACCUGGCUUCGGAUCUCAUACUUGAUAUUAUGAAGAUGACCUUCGGUCCAUUAUGUUCCAACCUUGACUAAUCAUAUGAAGGUUGAAACCGAUUUUGACCGUAUAUAAUGGUAAUGGUCCAAAAUCAUAUAACAACGCAACAAUCCAUUUUUUCAAUCAUGUGAGAGUCAUAACAUAACAUCUUGCGACAUUUUAACCUACAAAUCAAAAUUUUGAGUCACUGUGAGUCAAAAUUUUGUUUCAUAAUGAAACAAGUGAGAAAUCACUCUUUAUCUGUCAAGGGUGAAGUCUAAAACAAGAGAGAUUUUGGUCCCUGAAUUAUAUAUUGUCUUAUUCCUCUUUUAGUCCUUGCGUCAUUCGACUAAGUACCUCUAACUUUUAAUUUAAUUAAUUGUGUAGUUUUUAUCCCUAAGCUAAUAAAAGCUAACUGAACUCUAUUAAACUAACAGAAUAUUUAUUAAGAAAAUGAAAAUACAUAAGACAAGGUGACCCUAUGUCCCUUUAUUUGUUUGUUACUGAACGAAUUUGAGAAAAGAAAAAUCUUGAUUGAAAAUAUUUUCUGUGUAUAUCCAAUGAAUGAAUGUUAGGCUAUUUAUUUACAGCAAAUGGAAUCUAAGAUAAAACUACCUAUACACUUGUCUCUUAUUCUAUUGGCUACUCUAUAACAAACUCACAUGCUAUUUACAAGAAUAAAUAAUGUGUGUAAAAAUAGAAACUUAAUCUUAUCUUCAGCUUCUUCUAGUAGGCCCAAAGAAGGAAUUAUUCCAGUGAGCCCAAGAUUGAAUGUGAGCCCAAGAUUAGUGCAAAAGCCCAAUUUUUCUAUAAGCCCAAUGAAUGUGAGUCUUUACAAAGAUGUUCAGACAUCAAAUGUAUCGAACAUCUUAGAAGACCACCUUACCUUCUGCCAAAGACUAGUUCUUCAUCUUCUUCUUUAUCUUUGAGCAGAACUCCAUGAAUCCUAGAAUUAGAAUGUGGUUUCUUCUUCCCAACAUCCCCCCUUAAGUUGGAGGGUAACCUUGUGGCCCCCAACUUGCUUAAAAUCUCUGAGUGAGAAACUCCUGAAAGUGGCUUUGUAAAACGAUCCACCAAUUAGUCUUUAGAAGGAAUAAAAGAUAGGGUAAUUAGGCCGGAAAGGAAUUGUUGACGCAAAAAAUGACAAUCAAUCUCCACAUGUUUUGUGUGUUCAUGAAACACGGGGUUACGGGCGAUGUGAAUAUCUGCUUUGCUGUCAGAAUGAAGAGGAAUGGGAAAGUUUACUGGUGCAGAGAGAUCUUCAAGAAGUUGAACAAGCCAAGUAAGUUCUGCAGUUACUCUUCUUAUAGAUCUGUAUUCUGCCUCUACAGAUGAUGAAGAAAUUGACACUUGCUUCUUUGAUUUCCAGGAAAUGAGUGCUCCUCCUAGUGUGAUGAAAACGCCACUUGCAGAUCUUCUGGAUUCCUUACAAGAGGCUCAAUCUGCAUCGCAAAAUGCAAGCAAGGAAAAUGAUGGUGUUGCUGAGAGAAAAAUCCCUUGUCCCGGAUCUGAACUCGAGUAUUUCAACACUCGCAAUGCAGCAGUGAAAUGAGAGAGACAGGGUCUCUGCAUGUACUGGUUGAGAGUAAGAACUGCAAAGGAGAGAUCUGGGUGAGUGUUAGUCAGAUAGUUCAAUUUCCCAACUAGGUGAAGAAACACUGUGGGAUUUUGCAAAGGGUGCCCAUCAUCAGCUUGAAACUUAGAGGAAGGAUCAAGAGGAGAAGUGACUCGAGCCAAGUGAGAAACAUCAAAUUCCUGCAGCAUGUCCAAGGUAAAUUUCCUUUGACUUACAAUGAAACCUUCUUUUUCUCACAAAAUUUUCAUCCCUAGAAAAUAAUGUAUAUUCCCUAGAUUUCUUUACCUUGAACUCAGUAUUUAGAAAACCUUUGAUAUGCUGAAUUUCUUCCAAGUCAUCUCCAGUAAGUAGAAUGUCAUCUACAUACACAGCUAGAAUAGAUAUUAGGUUUCCUGUACGUUUAAAGAAUAAAGAGUAAUCAUUUAAUGAUAAAGAAUAUCCCUUAAACUCAAAGCCCCUGCAAGCCUGGCAUACUAUUGCCUAGAAGCUUGCUUCAAUCCAUAUAGUGAUUUCCUUAGAAGACAAACAUGCUUAGGACUAGGAGGUGUUAAACCUAAUGGAAUCUCAUGUACAUCUCCUCCUGAAGUUCACCAUGCAAAAAUGCAUUGUUGACAUCCAAUUGAGACACAUUCCAGUCUCUUUUAGCUGCAAUAGUGAGUAAACACCUUAUAGUUGUCAUUUUCACUACUGGUGAAAAAGUCUCACUAUAAUUUAUUCAUUCUCUUUGUACAUCCCCCCUGACCACCAGCCUUGCAUUCAAUCUCUCAAUUCUUCCAUCUGAUAGAUGUUUUACCUUAUACACCCACUUAUAAGGUAGAGCUCUUUUCCCUUUAGGUAAUUCAACCACAUCCCAUGUGUGAUUGUCUUCUAGGGCUUUAAUUUCUGAUUCCAUAGCUUCUAUCCAUCCUGGGUAUUGACAAACUUGUCCAAAACUGGUAGGUUCUGUGAGUGUAGAAAUGGACUGCACUACAUGUUGAUUGUUAGGUGAUAGAGAGGAGAAACAGUACUGCCUAGGUCUACUUGGUUGAUUGAAACAAGCAACUCCUACUUCUGUGAACAUGAUAUUGUUGCACAUAUAAUCUCUCAAGUAGGUUGGUUGAUUGGAAACCCUUCCUGAUUUCCUCAUUGGUGUAGGCUGCUUAGGUGCAUGAAUAGGGGAGUUAGUAUGUGGUGUAUCUAGGAUAGGUUGAAAAAGAACUGGGCUAGGAGAUAGUUGGGGAUGAGGAGAAGUAUAUGAAGAACUUGGUGAAGGUGGAGAGAAAAUGUCAGAAACUUCAGGCUCUAAAGAAAUAUGUGAGGAUUGAUCAUGUGAUGGAGGUGAAUAGAUAGGUUCUGUGGUGAAGGUUGAUCUUGGGAAUAUGGGUUGGUGUGAAGUUUUGCUCUCAACAAAAAUAAAAUGCGAUUCAUGAAACUUCAUAUCUCUUGACACAAAUACUCUUCUUGUUGCCAAUUCCAGUAGCUUAUAUCCCUUCUGAGGAAGGGGAUACCCAAGCAAGACACAAGUUGUUGCAUUUUUAUUAAAUUUCCCUCUUCCUUGAGCCAGUGUUGAAGCAUAACAAAGACAUCUAAAAUUCCUUAAAUAAUCAUACUUGAGCUUUUUCUGAAACAAGACUUCAUAUGGUGUUUUUCCUUUGAGAACACUGGAAGGCAUCCGAUUAAUAAGAUAUGUGGCAGUUAGGAUAGAUUCACCCCAAUACGACAUAGGUAGUUUAGAUUGGAACAUUAACCCCCUUGUAAUCUCUAAGAAGUGUCUAUGUUUCCUUUCAACAAUCCCAUUUUGUUGAGGAGUUGCUACACAAGACAAUUGAUGCAGAAUUCCUUGAGAAGCUAGGAAAGUAGCCUCUUGUGUACCUUUUCCCAAUUCCAUUGCAUUGCCAAAUCUUAUUACCUUGACGUGUACAUUGAAUUGCCUCUCAACCAUCGACAGAAAAGAUUUAAGCAUAGGAAAAGCAUUGCUCUUUGCACUUAACAAGAAUGUCCAUGUUCCUCUACUAUAGUCAUCUACUAUAGUAAGAAAAUAUCUGAAACCAUUGUAAGUAUUUGACCUAUAAGGUCCCCAUAUGUCAACAUGAAUGAGUUCAAAUUUAUGUUUGGACCUUAUGAUACUGACAGGAAAAGGAUUUCUGGUUUGCUUAGCCUUAGGACAAACAUCACAGAUAAAUUCAGAAUUUGGCUUACAAUGAAGAAAAUCUAAAUGUUUUAUUGCUAAAAAUGGGAUGUGUACCAAUAUUACAUGCCAAAGCUUAAAAUCACAAACAACAUUAACUUGAACUGGACUAUAAAAAGAAACUGACUUUGAAAUGGAACUUCUUCCUUUUGGAAUUGAAAAUACAUCACUAUUGAACAAACCCUUAGAUUUAACACUAUUUGGGUCCAAUAAAUAGAGUCUUUCUCUAACUUCACCAAAACCUUGAGGACUCUUUAUUGAAAGGCCCUGCAACACACACUCAACAGAUAUGAAUAGGACAUCAUACUUGAACUAAACACAAAACCUAUGAACUGACAAUAAAUUAUACUUGAAUUCUGGAACAUGUAAUACAUCGCUCAGAAUAUGACCAGGUAGAAUAUAAAUACUCUUUAUAUGAGUAACAAUCACCUUUAAAGAGUUAGGUAAACUGAUAUUUAAAGGUACAGGGAAUGGAGUCAAAAGCAAGAAAGAGUUUGGAUCAAAACGUAUAUGCUCUGAGGUACCUGAAUCAAUGAUCCAGGUGUCUGAUUUUAGACUGGUAAAUACUAAACUUGAGUAUUUUAGAAUAGUACCAGCAACUGCAUUAGUAUUGAUUCCUGCAUUUCCUGCCUGUGCUAGCUUUGCUUGUUUAUAUAUCUGCAUUAUUUCUGCUACCUACUCCUUGCUGAGUUGCUGUCCAAAAUUAUUGUUGUUGAGGUCAGUGUUUUGCUGCUGAAUUUUCAUGCUCCUCGUGUGUCAACACUGCAUUUGCCUUAACUUGAUUCCGAUAGCCUUUGUGAUUUGUGAACUCAAAAUCUUCUGGAAACCUAAUAAUUCGGUAAAAGUCUUCUUGUGUAUGUCAUGUUUUUCCACAAUAAGUGUAAGACACAUUUGGAUUGUACUUCUUCUUCCCUUUGAACCUCUGCUGAGGUUUAGCAAACCUCUGUCCUGAGUUGUUGAACUUAGGUGUCAUGGAUGUUCCCUUCUGUGCUUGGUUUCUGAGUUUUUGAUAAUUCUUCCCAUGUUCUGUGAUCAUAAAAGCUGCAAAAUCAGCUAGAAGUUGUGCAUUAGGUUGAUUGUCCUCUCCUGCUGCCAUGAAUGAUAUUGAUUGAGAGUUAAAGUGAGCAUUUGCAUAAACUUCUCUUUGAUUUUCAUCUUGUAAGAGAAGUGAAUAAGCAACAUCCAUACUAGGUAAAGGAUUCAUCAUAAGAAUGUUUCUUCUUGCUUGUGCAUAGAUGUCAUUUAGUCCCAUUAGGAAUUGGAUCAAUCUUUGAUCUUAUAGGAACUUAGUUAAUUUUGUCUUUCCUUCACAGACACAAACACAGGAGCAGCAUAUGAUAACAUUCAAAGUAUCUAAUUCAUCUAAUAGUCGUUUGAGCUUAGUAAAGUAUCCUGCAAUGUCAUUGUUUCCUAGUGCUAAUCCUAAUAACUCUUUCUUCAGAUGAUAAAGCUUAGCUUCAUUUGAUCUCCCAAAUCUCUGCUCUAGGCUGUCCCAAAGCACUUUUGCAGUUUUGGAGUAAAUCACGCUAUCUGCAAUAUCUUUUGAGAGUGCAUUUAGGAUCCAAGAGAUGACCAUGUCAUUCACACAACUCCAUUGCUCAUGUUCUGGGGACUUCAGAUCUAGUUAUUGACAACCUCCACUGAUGAAGCCAAGUUUCUUCUUGGCUGACAAGGACAAGAGAAUAGAUCUUCUCCAUCCUGGAUAUCCUCUUCCGUCAAAUAUAGUAUUGACUAGUGUCAUACCAGGUGAAUCAGAAUUGUUGAGAUGAUAGGGGUGAUUGACAUCAUAGCUCGCUGGUUUAGCAACAUUGCUCGCAUCACCAGUAGUUAUUUCUGCCAUUUUAGAUUACUGAUUUUGAGAAUGAAUGUGAUGUAAAGGAAUUUUGAUGAAUGGAUUGUUGUAUCGAGAUCACUGGUCUGAUACCAUGAACAAAUUUGAGAGAAGAAAAAUCUUGAUUGAAAAUAUUUUCUGUGUAUAUCCAAUGAAUGAAUGUUAGGCUAUUUAUUUAUAGCAAAUGGAAUCUAAGAUAAAACUACCUAUACACUUGUCUCUUAUUCUAUUGGCUACUCUAUAACAAACUCAUAUGCUAUUUACAAGAAUAAAUAAUGUGUGUAAAAAUAAAAACUUAAUCUUAUCUUCAGCUUCUUCUAGUAGGCCCAAAGAAGGAAUUAUUCCAGUGAGCCCAAGAUUGAAUGUGAGCCUAAGAUUAGUGCAAAAGCCCAAUAUUUCUAUAAGCCCAAUGAAUGUGAGUCUUUACAAAGAUGUUCAGACAUCAAAUGUAUCGAACAUCUUAGAAGACCACUUUACCUUCUGCCAAAGACUAGUUCUUCUUCUUCUUCUUUACUCUUUCAUUCUUCUUCUUUAUCUUUGAGCAGAACUCCAUGAAUCCUAGAAUUAGAAUGGGGUUUCUUAUUCCCAACAGUUAUUGCCACGGAGUAUUUGCAAAGGGAACUUGCACAGCUGACAAAGAACAAAAACUUCAAAUUCCAUCCCAGAUGCAAAAAAGCUAGGAGUGAUUCAUAUAUGUUUUGCAGAUGACCUAUUGAUGUUUUGUAAAGCUGAUAUUACAUUUAUCAUAUUGCUGCAACAGACAUUCCUCAAGUUCUCAAGCUCAUCUGGCCUCCAAGCAAAUACAGAAAAGAGUUCUAUCUAUUUAGCAUGCAUCUCAAACAGUCAAAAGCGGGACAUUAUACAAGAACUCGAAUACAUUGAAGGUACUCUACCAUUUAGAUAUUUAGGAGUACCAUUAGCAUCCAAGAAGCUGUAUAUCAUCCAAUGUUGGCCACUAGUAGAGAAGAUUACAUAAAGAAUUUGUAUACGGGUAUAAUCGAGCUCGAUGCUUGAUCGAACAUAUGGAACAAUAGGUCAAGGCUCGGCACAUACGUAAGAGAUCGAAGUUACAGAUAUAACCGAGCUCGAUAUCGAGGAUCGAAGUUUGAACAAGAUUAUCAUAUUUGCCCUCGAGUUUAUCGAGGGCACGACCGACCCUGCUUCUAACGGCCUCGAAGAAAUGCUUUGCCAACUCAUCCAAUAAAGAUUUGUGAUUCUCACCAUUAACCAAUCAUUAUGGCAGAAAUCACGGGAUUAAGUCAAAAAGGGAUCUAGCGGUCUGCAUAAUUUCUUAUAAAAUAAUGUCUUAAAGGCUUCAUCUCCCUCGAUAUAUAAAGGGAACUGAGUAAUUCAUGAGGGGGGUAACAUACUGCAAAGAACAACAUACUAUCUUUUUCAGCUUUGUUCAAGUUGUUUUGGCUUCAAUAAUAUUUUGGUCCCAAUAAUAUCACUCUUAAAUUCAAAGGAAGUUAACUUUGCAAGGCUUAAGUUGUUCAAUCUGUGUGGUUUGCAUUUGUGUUUCUAUUUAUUUUUUCAUAUUAAAUAUGAUUUCUCACGUUGUAUCAAAUUAUAUCACAUAUCCUUAAAACCACGUAUAAAUUCAAUUGUUAUCCGAUUUUGAGGAUAAACGGAAUCAACAGUUGGACAUCCAAAUUGCUUUCAUAUAUUGGUAGGCUGCAACUUAUCAAAUCAGUCUUGUUUGGGGUACAAUCUUAUUGAGCACAGACCUUUCUAUUGCCUAAAAAUGUAUGGAAAAUGAUAGAAACCAUUUGUAGAUCCUUCUUAUGGUCUGGCACAUCUACUCUAACCAAGAAAGCACUAGUUGCUUGGGAUAGAGUAUGUUGGCCACAGGCUGCUGGGGGCCUUAAUGUAAUGAAUUUGUACUAUUGGAAUAAAGCAGCAGUUGCAAAACACCCGUGGCAGUAGCAAUGAAGAAGGACUGCCUAUAGAUUCGGUGGAUUCAUACCUUCUAUAUAAGGAAUAAGACGGUGAAAAAUACUCCAAUACCCAAGAAUGCAGCCUGGGUAGUAAGGAAAUUACUGGAAACAAGGAAAUUUAUUGUUGAGCUACAAGGUAUUCAGGGGGAUCUGAUUAGUAGGCUUCUCCAACUACAAAAGGGUGAAGUCUUUAGUGUUAUCAAGCUCUAUCACAUGCAAUUCCCUCAAAUUCAAAGGGUACCUUGGAAGAGUAUAACCAUGCAACCCAAUCUACAUCCUAGAUAUAAAUUUAUACUUUGGUUGGCACUGCAUAAGAGAUUAGCCACAGUGGACAGACUACUUAAAUUUGGAAUCCAAGUCCCCCAACAUUGUGUAUUAUGUCACCACUCUCAUGAACUAUUUGAACAUCUAUACUUUGAAUGUCCAAUAGUAAAAGGAAUAUGGACUAGGCUGCUCAAUUGGCUAGGCCACCCUAGACCUAUUCAGGACUAGUAAGGUGAAGUACAAUGGAUAAAUAGAGGUGCAAAGAGGAAAUUUGGUCAUUGGGCAAUUGUAUUUUGUGUGUUUGGCAUGCUGGUUUACAUAGUAUGGAGGGAAAUAAAUAUGAUUAGAUAGAAAUUGUGAUGCAUAUACAUACCAGAGGAAGAACAAUGUAGAACUGGCAGGGAGCACUGUAGCAGCUGGAUUUUUUUCCCCUAGUUUUCUUAGACUCCUCUCACAUGAAAUUGUUUUUUUUCCUUUCCGGGUGGUUUUAAGCUGAUGCAAACUGACUAUAUACUGAUAUAGUGCUUAGAACAGUAGACUUGCUGUAAUUAGAAGAUAGAAGUGUAGAUGGUCAGAAUCUACUUGAUCUGUAAAGCUUCUUUUUUUUUUGAAUGAAUAGAAAGUCACUAUUUACCACAAAAAAAAUACAUAAGAAGAAAAGGGCAACGAGGAGUAGAAGAGCUUCACUAUUAUUUCAACUUUCAAUUCACUGCUAUGAACUGCCCCAUGGCCAACAGAGCAUCCAUUACCAAAGGUGGAUAUAUAAUUUAAAUUUUAUGGGUUCUAACUUUUAAGAUUUUAGCAUUGAAUGCAUAGUUUUUUUUUAAAGUUAUAGGUUCAGACUUAUCAUUUGUGCAAUUUUAAUAAUUUUUUAUAUAAAAAUUUAUGUUACACAUCGAAAGUAUCGGAUUCAAAUGAACCGGCGGCCAAACACUAUAUCCGCUCCUGCCAUUACAAUAAAAAAAUUAAAUUAACAUAUCUAAAUGCAAAAGUUAAAAAAGAGUGACGAGUCUUUGAACUACUCCAAUCCUCCACUUCACAAGUAAUAGCAAGACCAAGUCUCCGUAAAUUAAGUCCGUCCAAGCAUAUCCAAAAGAACAUUUUUAGAUCCAACAAAUACUACCCCUUUAGCUUUAGGCCCAAUCCAAUAUAUACCACUCGAUAUUUUCAAGCCCAAUCAUAUUACUAACGUGUUUCGCCGGAAGUAAAAACCAAUGGCCGGAAAAGGAGAAGGUCCGGUGAUCGGAAUCGAUCUCGGAACCACAAACUGUUACGUCGCCGUUUGGAAACAUGAUCAUGUGGAGAUGAUCACCGAAGAUUGCGGUGGGAGUGAGCUCGCUCGUAUGACGCCGUCCUACGUUUCUUUUGUAGAAGACCGGCGUUGGAUUGGUCUCAGUCCUAAGCUUGGCAUCGAAAAUAACCCUACUAACACUGUUUUCGGUAAACAUUUGAUUCUCAGAAUCUCUUUUUUUCUUUUCAUUUACGUUUAUUGAAAUAGUGUGCGUUCUCAUUCGUAAACAAUUGCUUGGAUUUUAUAGUUACAUUGCAUCAGCAUGCAGUAGAGUACGUGAUUAGUGUCUUUUUUAUUUUUGUUUUGUUUUCUUGUGUUUAUAGUAGUGCUAUAAUUAUAUAAAUUGUACGGAGGGCGGAGCUAGCUCUUCGGUUAAGAAUUUGGUCCAAUCCAAUAGUUUUGCUCCAACCAGUGGGUUGGCGGACCCAGGAUUUUGUGCAAGGGGUUCAAUCUUAGAAGUACAUAACUUUAGUCGUAAAAUAGUAGUUGUCAAGUGGGUUCAACUAAAAUAUUUAAACAAAAUUUACGCAGCUUUAAUCAUAAUGUAUACAUAUACACAGUAUUAUAUUUUAAUGAAGCGGGUUCAGUUGAACCCGCUUGCCACCACGUGCAUCCGCCACUGGCUCCAACCCCUGUAUUUGUCUUAAGAAAUCUAUUGACUGAAUAUAAAUUAUUAAUUUAGAACUCUAUAACUUAAAAAGACUAGAAUCCUGAACUCAUAAGUUUCAAAUCUUGGUUCCGCAUGAGUAUGAUAUUAGUUUAUCUUUUAUGCUACAAUAAUGGAGGAUGCAGUGUGAGUAUGAUAUUAGUUUUGAUUUAGAUCGUUUCUAUGAGAGAUCAAGUUUUGAAUUUGCAACUUACUGUAUACUAUUUUCCUGUAUAAUUUUCAAAUAUUUAGACUUUAAUUAAAACAAAAAGUAAAUUAAUCUAGGUCGAUUUUAACUUCCAAAUAUUGUCAAAAUGAUUCUCGAUAAGCUAAAAGUGCCAAACAAAUUUGAUAGAGAGAUUAGUUUGUUGAUGAUAUAUAUGAAAUCGAUCAACUUCGUCUUAUAUGGUUUCACAGAUAGAUUUGUUUUUGAAUUGCAACUUACAGUACCUUUUUUUUAUAGUUGUCGAUAAUCUAAAUUUUAAUUUUAAGAGAAUGAAUUAGUAAUUAGCUCCUAUAGUUAGUCAAAUUCUUUCCUAUAAAACAAUAAGUUGCAAAAGAAAUGAUUAGCUUAUUCACUAAUUGUACCUUAGCACAUUGGCAGAUGCAAAGCGCCUUAUUGGAAGGAGGGCUAGUGAUCCCUCUGUACAAAGUGACAUGAAAAUAUGGCCAUUUAAAGUUAUUGCUGGACCUGGUGAGAAGCCAAUGAUUUGUGUAGACUAUAAGGAAGAAGUAAAGCAGUUUACUGCUGAACAAAUCUCAGCUAUGUUGCUUAUAGAGUUGAAGAGAGUUGCUGAGAAAUUCAUUGGAUCAACUGUCAAAAAUGCAGUGGUGUCUGUACCAGCUUGCUUCAAUGACUCGCAACGUCAAGCUACCAAAGAUGCUUGUGCUAUUGCUGGUUUGAAUGUUAUGCGUAUUAUCAAUGAGCCAACAGCUGCAGGCAUUGCUUAUUUUAUGGACAAAAAAGAUAGUAAUACUAAUGUAGGAAAGAAGAAUGUGCUUGUUUUUUAUCUUGGUGGUGGUACUCUUGAUGUUUCUGUUCUUACUAUUGGAGAUAAUAUAAUUGAGGUGAAAGCCACGGCGGGGGACACGCAUCUUGGAGGAAAAGAUUUCGACAAUAAAUUGGUUAAUCACGUCGUCCUGCAAUUCAAGAGAAAACACAGGAAGGACCUUACGCAUAGCCCUAAAUCAUUAAGCCAAGUAUGGACAACUUGUGAGAAGAUGACACGUACUCUUUCCGACAAUGACGAGGCAAUAUUUGACGUCUACGACCUAUACGAUGGAAUUCCCUUCGGCUGCAACGUCUCGCGUGCCAAGUUUGAGGAGUUGAACGCGGACCUCUUUAAGAAGUGUAUGGAGCCAGUUGAGAAAUGUUUGAGGGAUGCAAGAAUGGACAAGGAUAGUGUUGAUGAGAUUGUACUUGUUGGUGGAUCAAGUAGAAUUCCCAAAAUACAACAGCUAUUGCAGGACUACUUUAAUGGUAAGGAACUUUACAAGAGUAUUAAUCCUGAGGAAGCUGUUGCCUAUGGUGCUGCUGUACAAGCUGCGAUUCUUAGCGGAGAGGUUAGUAAUGAGAAGAUUCAAGAUUUGCUGAUUUCGGAUGUCACGCCUCUAUCGAUAGGAUUGGAAACAACAGGAGGAGUUAUGACUAUGUUAAUUCCAAGGGACACCACAAUUCCUGCUAAGAAAGAGAGGAUAUUUUCAACAUAUUCAGAUAAUCAAACUGGACUGUCAAUUCAGGUUUACGAAGGAGAAAGAGCAAGAACAAAAGACAACAACUUGUUGGGCAAAUUUGAGCUCUCUGGUAUACACCCUAUUCCUAGAGGUGUACCUCAGAUAACUGUUUCCUUUAAUGUCGAUGCCAAUGGAAUAUUGAAUGUCUCCGCUGAGGACAAGACCACGGGUCAGAACAAAAAGAUUACAGUUACGAAUGACAAGGGUAGGCUUUCGAAGGAAGAGAUUGAAAAGAUGGCAAAGGAUGAAAAGCAGUACAAGGCAGAUGAUGACAAAUACAGGAAAAGAGCAGAAGCUGAAGAAGCAUUGCAGGGAUAUACCUCCUUCAUACACUUGUGGAUCUUGGGCGAGGAGAAUAUUGUCGCGCAGCUUAGCGCAACAGACAAGAAAAAGGUUGAGGAUAUUCUUGAACAGGCUAAUUCAUGGAUUAAUACCAAUCCAUGUGCAGAAACUCAUGAGUUAGAGGACAAGAAGAAGGAACNNNNNNAGCUAAUCCAUAUCUUCUCGCUUGAGACAUUGUUGAUCUUAGAUAAGAUUUUAUCAACUUUGAUUUUAAAUUUUUGUUUUCCACGAUUGCAAUUGUUAUAGGAACCGUGAAUAUUAUUCUAUAAGCAAUAUAGGCAUCUGAAAAUGAAUAAAAAAAAAUUAUCUGAUUAAGUAUAUCGACUAGAGUAUUAUCUUCUAUUUGUGCUAUUUUCCUUAACACUUUUGAUUUAAAAAUAAGUCUGAACAAUCAACAUCGAGUGACUACUAGUAUGUUUUAAGGAAUUUCUUAGAUCAAGACAAUACUUUUUAAGAUUCUUAUCACCCAGUGAUCUUAAUUUUUAACAUGUAAUUAAAAAUAUUUUCAUACGCUUCGAGUUGUUCAUAUCUAUUUUGAAGUUUCCUUGACCUUUUUUUAUUAAAAAUUAUACUAUUUUUCUAAUUCCAUUUAUUUAAUAUUCCUUUGGUGUCAUUGACAUAAAGAUAUCGUUUCUAGUCACCCAAAAUUUUGGAGCCAAAACUCGUACACGGUGUUUGGCUAUCGGGAUAAGGAUACUAAUCUCGUGAUAGAAUAUGUGAUUGUAUUUAUUCUAUUUUUGGUUAUCGCUAUUAGUUAAUGGUGGGAUAAAUUAUUUUAGAGAAAAUACAUUGUAUAGCCGCUCUCAAAAUAAUAGCCGAAAAAAUAUAUAUUUUGGGUAUAUUUUUUGUAUAUAUAUAUACAAAAAAUAUAUAAAUUUUAUACAAUUCUGCGGCUAUAGGAUGUAAAUAGUUUCGGUUGCAAGCUAAAAGUGAUUUUUGCCCAUUUUAUUUUUUACAAAAAUGAUGGUAUUAGAUAUCCCAUAUAGAAUAUGGGAUAGCUAAUCUCAUGGGAUACUCGACACUUUGCAUUAUCAAAUAGAAUUCUAUGUUUUUCCUCACCUCAUGUAUGAGCUUAUACGCUUCGAAUCAAAAAUAUUUUCAUACAUGUAAAUAGAUGAUAUCUAUUUUGAAGUUUUAUUUACCUUUUUUAAUUAAAAAUAUACUAUUGUACUUUAAAAUACUCAAUUUUAAAGAAAAUUAAUCCAUAACCUAACACUAGUAAAAAACAAUGAGGGGGCAACCCUUAGAGGUCCUUUGGUAUCGGGAAAAGAAUAUUAAUCUCAGGAUAGAAUAUAGGAUUGUAUUUAUUUCAUGUUUGGUUAUAACUAUAAUUAAUGGUGGGAUAAAUUUUAUACUAAAAUGAUGAUGUUACAUAUCUCAUAUAGAAUGUGGGAUAACAUCUAGCGAGAUAUUCUAGCUCAUGAUUUAGGGGUUGUCUGAUUCAUAUUUGGGAUAAACAAACUAAAAUGGAAAGGUAGCUUUACUAAGGACGAUGAUGCUUUUGGCAAACAGAAUAGAUCGAAUUUUUGAAAUCUCCUGCUACAAAUGCUUGUGGUUUGUUUAAUCUGAUUCGUAGCUAGUUUAAAAUUUUAACCAUUUUCCUCAUAUAUUGGGCAAAAAGUUUCCUCGUGUUCCUAAGUUCCUUCAGUUAUGAGUAAAAAGUUAUUUCGUUUUACAAACAUCAAAACCCUUAUUUAGCUUUACUUGUUUCAAUCACCAUCAAGCAUUAUUGUUUAAAAUCCUUCAAAUUUCAAAAUUAUUUUCUAUUUUUAUUUUGGGUGAGAAAGCUAUCUCCUUUACUUUGUUAAAUGUUUUUGCACAUUGUAGAGAAAACAAGGAGAAAAAACUGGAUAGCAAUUCGUGAUCAGAUUGCCCAAAAUAUUUAUUGUCGUUUAAUGGUUUAAGUUAAUCAGCAAAAAAUAUACACAUUUCUUAUUCAAUUCCGCUACUAGGGUGAGCUAACUCCAAAAAAUCCGUCCACAAUUUGAAUGGGGGGCAACCAUGGAUGGUACUUCUCGACCCUGUUUCCUAGUAAUAAUUUCCUCUAUAAAAAAUAAUUUGUGUAAUAUUUAAUUAUAUUUUGUACUUACAAACGUUAGUCAAAUUAUAUAUUAGCUUACCAAUAAAUAGUUUCUUCAAAUAAUAAUCUUAUCAAAUCAACUUUGAACUAAAAAUAAAUUGAGACAUGAAUUAUUUUGUAUUUAAAUCAAUCUAGAGUGUGAAAUCUUUCAAUAAUCAUGUUCUUAUUAGUGUGAAUUAAGGACAUAUAAUUUAUUUUAAUAGAAAAAGGUGUUAUUAAGAUUUUUUACCAAGUACUGCUUAUUAUAUAACUGUCUAUUUAUUAAAUAAUUAAGUUUCCUUGUUAGGUAAUGCAUUUAAGAGUUAUAGUUUACCCCUUAACAUACCAAAGAAAAUGGAUACCAAAAUUAGAUUCUUUAUGUAUGGAAAAAUAAAUUGGAAGGUUACAACUCAAAUGGGAAAUCUUAAAUAUGGCAAAAAUGAACAUGUAUAGAAACUUAAUUAAAUUGAUGGUAAUUUUACUAAUUUAGAUCUUUACACCUACCUCUUCCACUCAAUGAACAUUUUCUUCCCACAUUAAUGCAAAUAUCAUCUCGAGAUUUUACAUUCAACUUUACCCUAAUCGAAAUUGCAAAAUCCAACAAUCAAAACCGGAAAAGGAGAAAUUAACAAGACAAUGGCGACAUCUACUUCUUCCUUAGUAUUAUGUCUAAUUAUUGCUUCCUUAUUGGCACCAAGUAAAAGUAACCCCUUGUCCCAAGUGUGUAUCAAAUCGAAAAAUCCAAGGUUUUGUUUAGAAGUCUUUGGUCUAAAUCCUCAUAGGAGUCCUCAUGAGUUGACACAAGAAGCCCUCAACUUAGCCGUGGCAAACGCCUCGGGAACAGCCACAAAGAUUGACAUCUUUCUAGAUCGAAACGAAGACGGUAACCUAAAAGUGAUAUAUUCAUUGUGUUUGAAUUAUUACCAAGCGGCCGUUGAUGUUUUAAAAGCUGCAGAGGAGUUUUUGAUACAAGGUCAAUAUAGUAACGUAAACACAGCAGGAAAUAUAGUAGAGGAAGAUGCUUCAAAUUGUGAGAAUGCGUUUAAAAAGGUACCAGGUAAUUAUGUGUCAACUCUUACUAAGGACAAUGAGAACCUAGGAUUUCUUGGUAGUAUUGUUGUGGCUGCUGCAGAUGUUCUUUCUAAUUCGACAUCGGCCAAAAAUUAAUAAAUGUAUGUCAUGUGUUACCACAAGAAUGCCAAUUAAUAAAUGAGAAAAAAAUUGUCACUUCAGAUUUUCCAUUAAUUUCAGGGGAACAAUUAUUUUUUUCUUUCAAGUUACUUGUUUAACUCCAUUGUAAUUCUCUUUUUUUACUUAAUUAAUCAGAUGAAAUUGUCUUUUAAAUCGUUGAUAUUUGACCUCUUCACGUGUAUGAGCGGAUGCAGCCGUGCCAAUUUUAAAAGCUUAUAUAUAUGUUGGAAAAUUAAUCCAAAAUUGAUGUAAGAAAUUCCUAAAUUGUUUAAGAUUUUAUAUUUGUUAAUUUACGUUUUUCAAUGUCUAAAAGAGGAUUUUUAGGUUACCGCAAAAUUUUAAGAUCAUUAAGAAUUUAUGAGAUUCUAAAUACAUUAUUUUUCCUUCAUUAUAUUUAUAUUAAAUUUGUAAGACUACCAUAAAACGGUAAUGAUAUGGCACACUUGGUGGUUUUAAACCUUUAUUUGGAGGUAUGCAUUCUCAUCUCAUUUCUGAAAGGCCAAAUACAUAUACAGCCCCUCUAACUUGACACGAAAUUUCAUCUUGGCACCUCAUCUUAGCCAAAUUCCAAUUGAACACUUCAUGUACACCUAAACUGUGUCAUUUAAACCCUUAAAUGAUAGCCGUAAAAAAAUUAGUAUGCGUGAACUUUACACACAGCGACCUGUCAAAUGUAACAAAUAAGGAAACACCACAUGGCUUUUUAGUCAAACUAAUGCCAAAAAUAAGAAGAAGAAAAGCUUUUGAGCCUAAAGAAAACGAAAGAAAAUUAUUUUUUAAGAACCCCUUCUUGAGUAUCAUCUUCUCCACCAUCAACUCAGAUUUUUAUCAUUUCCGACAUCAAAACCCUUCAACCCUUUUUGCUCCACCAUCUACUAAUGACUCAACACCACCACUUCAAAGUUCUAUUUCCAAUUCGCAGACCGUCUCUAUAAGUUGUUCGUCUCUGUAAGUUGUUGAGAAAAACUAGCACCAUAUGGGUCUUAGAAUUUUAUCAUAGACCACAAUGAAAAUUAAGAAUAAAGACAAAAGACAAAUAUGAUACCGCAAUUGUGCUGCAGAUUUCAUUAGGUGAUAAAUAUUUUAUUAUUGGGGCAGGGUGUUGUAAGAUCAUUGCAGAACAUUUUUGAAGUAUAUUUGUGUAAUAAUAAUAAUAAUAAUAAUAAUAAUAAGCUUAAUAAUUUGUCAUCAAAUUGAAAGUUAGCUUUUGGUCCAUUUUUUGAUGUCUUAUAGAGGUUAAGCUCCAAUUGUAUAUUAUCUACCUAUUUUGCCAAGAAUGAAACGGGACCGAAAUUCUGGAUUUCCUAUAAAACUUUUCAAAAGUUCUCAAAAUCUUCUCUGAAAAAAAUGAUCUCACAGGCUUGUUAAAAACUUCUCUUUCGAUAACUCAACUUCCUCUUUCUUUUUAUUUUGUUAAAAAAUAAUGAAAGAAAACAGUGAUCUGUCAAGAAGAGAUCGAAAAUAGAAAGAAGAAGAGGAGAUGUGCAGUAAAAAAAAAAAAAAAGUAACGUUUUAAGGAAUGGGACCCAUUUUAUAUUUGUUAAAGUCAUUUUACGCACGCUAGAUAAAAGUGAGAAAUAAACAUUGAUCCAUGUCAGCAUAAUUGUUUAAUUGUACAGUUUAAUGAUACUUAAAGUGUUCAAUUGGAACUUGGUUAAGAUGAAGUGCCUAGAUGGAAUUUUGUGACAAGUUAUCUAUGUAUUUGGCCUUUCUGAAAUCUAGUGCUACAUGAGACACUUUCUUAAUAAACCCCAAUAGUGUCUCAGGUAAAUAGAAAAGGGGACAAUGGGGUAAGGCAUGUGACACUCAUUUUGACAAGAACAGACUUUUGAUUGAAGAGUCUUUCUCUCUCUUACAAAGAUACAAACACUACAUUUUUAUCUAGAUUCUUGUUCGUAUUAUCCCACACCCUUCCAUCAGAUCCGAGAAUAAUUCGAAUAUUUUAGGAUUUGUUUGUCGCUCAUCAUUGUCAUGAGGGAUAAUCAACUAGUUCAUAUUUUAUUGGGUAAAUCACUCAUUUUAUUUACUUAAAUGUCAUUUAUUGUUAUUUAUUGCUAGUUGUUGCUACAUUAUUGCUCAUACAUUUUGGAACAGUUAAUGCAUAUUAUUGUCAAUCCUCCACCAGAUCUGACCAACAUUAGUCACCUUUUCGGAAAUAACAUCUAGAGAUAUUAUUAUUAACUAAGUUUAACUCAUUAUUAUAUAAAUUCAACUGUUUAAAUCGAAAGUUACAUUUUUUGGUCAAACAAUUGAAACUCUUAUCCUAAAUAUUUUCUUUUUCUUCUUUGUUUUUUAUUUUCUUUAUAAAGAAGUUCUUCAAAAAAUUAACUGUAACAUUAGUAAAAGGGCUUGAUUUAAAUAGUAACUAUAUAUUAUCGUUUCUUUAUAUGAUCUCUUCUUUUUCUACGACCGCAUAUGGUUAAGGAAUGAUACACUUGUCUUGCAUCGAUUGUAUAAGAGCUUCCAGAGGGGUUUAAAUUGUUCUAUGUUAAUCCUCCCAUUUUCUAAAGGUUUUGGAUUGAAACAUGCUACCAUUCUUUCAUAUACGGUAUCAGAGUCAAAUUUUGAUAAAUCUAUAUGUACAAACAGUUUUCUCUCUUCAUCUAUAGCUCUGAACUUCAAUUUUCUCUCUCAACUCAACUCAUGGAGCUGCUCUAGACUAUGGACUUCUUUUUUAUCGUGCCAUAACAUUGCUUCAAGCUCCCUCAUUAGCAUGUUGAACCUAAUUUGGCUUCAUCUAUUCUAGGCCCACUUUUGUUGAGCCUUCUCUACUUAAAAGAAUAGAUAUAUACAUAGAGAGAAUAUACAACAAAAAUAUUAAUUCAGUCCAUGAGUAAAACUUGUAGCUAGAAUCAGAUUACAUAAGCGGGAUGGUACUAGAGAUUAAUAAACACUUGUCCCUUAUUGAUUAUCUUAGAGUUGCCUCUUUAAAGGGGUUUAAAUGGUCCUAAACUACUUUUGUUUUUUUUAAGGCUAUCCAGCUCCUUUAAGAGCUUGGAUAGACAUAAAUAAACAGAUCAACAACAAAAUACAUUGGAGGGGAUCUUCACCUUACCUCUAUUACUAUGCAGGUUACAAAAUGGUGGAUAAAUACAUGUAUGCCAGCUCACCAAAAUAGCGAAUUGAGAGGGCUACUAACCCCUCCUCUGUAUUGCAUAAUUACAAGGCAUAAUACAUAAACAAGCCCUCAAAUUUGGCCUCAACUUGCAUGUAUGCCCUCUAACUUUGGGUGUGCACAAGUAGGCACAUCAACUUGUCUCCACUAUGUUAGUUAAAAACUCUAACUUAUAAAAGAUCAUCUAGACACCUCUAGAAUUUAUGUGUCACAUCAUGAUUUAAAUUUUAUACAAGUUUAGGUACCUACUUGUGCAUACCAAAGUUAGAUGGCAUACUUGCCAGCUGAAACUAAGUUUGAGGACCUAUAUUAGCAUCAGGGAACAUUAAAUUGAUAUCUUCUUCCUAGGCUCAUGUCCAGAUAAAUGGUAUUCUUGAAUUAUUUCAUUCUAAAUAAAGGGAAUUGCAAUAUGUCCAUUCUGUAUUUUCCUCUAGCCUCUUUUCGAAGUUGUUGCGGAUUGCGAAAUCAUGUCAUAUGUGCUUUCAAGUCAUAAUUAGAUAUGAUAUCAACAACCUUAUUUCUUUCUCUAUAGUAAUGUGCUAUUAUCCUAUCCUCCCUAAGUUCGAGUUUAUUUCUCAAAUCUAGAAUUAUGUCAGUUAAUUUUCAUGGAAUUUUUAAUUUUUCAAGCAACAGUUAACCAAUCUAAUCCAGUCUUCAAAGCCAAUGAUUCUGCCAUAUUAUUUAUGGUAGUACCAAAAAGGAUUGCAUAAGCAGCUAACAGUUCACCAUUAUGAUUUCUAUUAACCCUCCUCCCGUGCGCACUAAGGCGUGGGUUGCCUUUCGUGCAGCCAUCAGAAUUGAUCUUGACAAAUCCCAAGUUUGGGGAUUCCAUUUAACAUAGGUAGAGGAGAUGGACAACUUAGCAUAAUUCACUAUCAGAAAAGUUGUCAGUCAGAAAGGAUAUUCAGUAUAUAUAUCACUGGUCCUAAACUACUAGUGUGUUUGUUUCCUAAUUUCAUGAUGUUUUUGACUUUUUGAGUAUAAUUUCUUAUUACUAAAUGUAUGGGACAUGUACAGGGCAUCUUUCAGAAUGCAGGGGGGAGGGGGGGAUAGGUUUCAAACAAAUUUAAGUUAUAAACACUAAAAGUAUAAAGAUAUUUCUUACAAGAUCAGUGAACCAAAACUCGUAAUUUUACCUUUUUUACAAGUAUAUCAAUUAUUAAUGUUUAUCAAGAAUUUACUUAAAUUUUUAUGAUAAGUGAUAUGAUUGUACACUCUUCCGAAAAUAUAGUAGGAAACCUGAGAGCUGACAAGGGUUUUAUUUCAUGAAUUUCUCUUUCUUUCGUCAUCUUGAGAGGUUUUGACUUAUAUGUGUAUUCUAUUAGCCUUCUAAUUAAAUCGUGAUUAAUUUCGUAAUACCAUCAAGUACUAAACCUACUAUAGGUCAUUAUGGCCGAGAGACAUCUACGGAGCAAAAAAAACACAAAUAGACAAUAUUUAAGAAAAUAAUUCAAAAACCUAAUAGCAGAAGGUAUUUUACAUGACACGACAACUAAAUAAAUAUAUUCCUUGGCAGAAAGCUAUAAGCAUCAAUCAAUAAUCACGUUUAACAAAAAAUUCAAAGCAUUAAGUUCCUAAAAAAACGUCCAAAGCGAUUCAGUUUCCUAAGAAUACGCAAUACUCCUAAAAAUAAGAACAUAUAAAUGGAAAUGUAUUAGGAAGAUAAUUUUAAUCCAAAAAUAACUUCUUCAUGUAGGCAUAGUAUCCCAUUCUUUGAGCGAGAAUCUUCUGUCACAAAAAGAAUUCAAUUCAAUAAAAAGGUUAUUUAUAUAAUAUUAAAUUUUAAAAAUUUAUUUUAUUGUAUAUUUAUACAUAAGGAAUAAUAAUGGUAUAUAUAAGCAUAUAAAUAUAAAUUUUUGUUACUGUUUGUACAUAAAAUAGAUAUUGAAUAAUAAAUAAUAUUUUCCUCACAUAUACAAAGUAUAGAUUUUAUAUAACAAAUAUACAUAAAAUAUAUACAAAUUUUAUUAAAUAUACAUAAAUUAUACAUUAGAUACAUAAUACAUACAUCGAAUAUGUAUAAAAUUAUACAUUUUUUAAUAAUUAUGCGUCAAAUAUAUACUACAUACAUAAAAUAUAUGCAAGUAUUAUGCAUUUCUAUUUGAGAGAAUAAUAAAAAUGUGAUUUUAAGAGCAACUAUUAAUUAGAAAGAAAAUUUCAUAGAAAACGUAAGCUUGGAAAGCUCUGAUUAAUGAUGAGAGAAAAUUAUGAAUAGAUUAAUAUGGCUCAAAACCAAUCCUUUAAACUGUGGGUUUGUGUUGAACGGUUUAUGUUUAAGAAAUUAAAGGCCAUUAAAUAAGGUGAAGAAUCUUUAAAAAUGUUAUAACUGUAUAUGAAUAUGCUAUUUUUGUAAUAAAGCAAAAGUACUAUAGUUGUAUAAAUGGUUUUUAAUAACAGUUCUACCGUGUAAAAAUCUCAAAUUUUUAAGCCUUAGAUUGUUUCUUUUAUAUUGUUAUUCAUCUUUUAUUUACUUUCAAGUCACGAAUUUAUUACCAUUACGAUGCAAAAGUACAAUUCGAAGGAGGGUAUUGCCCGGCUUUCUUUUACCUUGCCGUUAGCAAAUUAUCACAUAUUUACCCUUGCCGUUGACGGAGCUCCAACAUGAAGCGGCAGGGCUUUACGUGUCCAAAUUAUUUGAGAAAAAAAAUAUCUAAAUUUACCCUCAACUUUUUUACUACGGUCUUUAAAAUUACUCUAAAGUUGGAACUCAAGACAAAAUUGAAACUUUUUCCUAACGAUGGAAGUAACAUAAGUAAUAGAGCGUAAAGUUGCUCAAUUACUGAUAUUGCAGGGGAAAAAUUGACUACUUUCUCUAUUGAAAGUGCGAGUUUCGAUAGAUAUAAGAGAGAUUCUAAACAAGUGUAGCUAGUCAUAUAGGCCUCUGGCAACAAUAUUUUGAAUUUGCUUUAUUACUCUCAUGGAAUUAUGGCCUAAUCUGCACCACUCAUAUGGCAAACGGGGCAGGGGACGGGUGCAGGGCGGGGCAGGUUUAAAGUUAUGCGGGUGGGUCGGGUAUAUGCGUGUUUAAGCAAUUUUUCUUGUUGGUCUAUUUGAUAUUCUGCAAAUUAUCUGCUAAGUGCUAACCCUUGCCACUUUUGCAUUGCUGGAAUCACCGUCAACAUUCCAGAAAUUUUUUUUGGUUGGUCUAUUUGAUAUUCCAGCAUUUUAUCUCAAAUUUUUCACUCUUCUCAAUACUUGGUGCCAUUAGGCAAAGACAGAAGGGAACUUGACUGCAAGAUCCACCCGUCGAAAGAAGACAAGUUGGCCAAAUAUUGCAAAGUCUCGAUAUUUAUCACCGAUCAAGAAGGAAACCCAAAAGGACCUCGAAUAUUUGGUGCACUAAAGAAUUGAGAGAAUCAAAUUUUACUAACAUAGUUUCACGACGGCCAUAUUGAUACUUGUAGUGAUACACCUAAUCCCCAAUUAAUAUUGUGCAGUAUCUUUUUUUUUUGCUAAGGAAAGGAGUAAUUUAUAUUUAAAAAAACUAAGAGGUCUGGUUAUUACAUAACAUGGGGGUAUAUAUACCGCAUAGCGAUCGUCCCCAAUCUGUUUUUAUUGAAAGCAUGUAAAACAAAGGCCGGAGGAGUUUCCCAGUAUGUUAUGGUGUCUUCUUACAUCGUUAUUGAUUGCCUGGUACGUCCAUACUUUGCUAGAGUGUCAGCCACAAAGUUGUCUUCCCUACAAAUAUGGUUUAUAGUCUCCGAUCCAAGAGCAUCAAGAAGAAAACCACAAUUAUUAAGAAGAUGUGAGAAUCAAGUUUGUUCAAUCUUAAAUAAAUUAUAUAAUACCUGCGAAUUUAUUUUCACUAUAAUUGGAAAGAGAUUUUUUGUGAAGGAUAGUUCCAAUCCAGUAAGUAGUGCAAGCAACUCGGCGUGUAUUGCAGAAUUUGUAAUCGCUUUCUGCGCAAAGCCCAUAACCCAUGAGCCACUGUGAUCUCUAAUUAUUCCACAGCAUCACUGGUUUGGUGGGUCGGAUCGUAAGCACCAUCGACGUUUAGCUUGUAUUGGCUAGUAGGUGGUGGGAACCACCUUUCUGUGACUUGCAGCCGUGGUUUUGGAGAUGUUAUAGUCUGAGUGAGUGAGAGGUAUUCUGCUACUUGAAUCAUGAUUUUUUAGCUGCACGUAGGGGAUGAGGUCUGGUUAAAGAGAUUUGAAUUCCUAUUAAUCUAAAUGUUCCAGAGGAUGAACGGCAUUAUGAUAGAGUAUGGUGCUUUGAAGGAGGCAUUUGGCGUUUGGAUGGAAGCAUUUUUGGUGGACUUAUCCUUUAUCCAGUUGGCAAGGUUGUGUGGUUGGGGUAUGCAUAAGUUGAAUAAAGGCCAUAAGUGACAGGAGUGCUUGCAUACAAAUAAGAUGUGAUUUAUGUCUAGUACACUAUUUAGGCAGAAUUGACAGAAGUUGAUUGAAGAAUUUUCUUCUGGUACAGGAAGUCUCUAGUAGAGAGCUUGUAGUGUACAAAUAACCACAAGAAAAAUUUGUGUUUGUUCAAGCAGUUGAAGUGCUAAAGCCAAGAGUAAUUAACAUGUGUGGGUUAUGGCAGUUGGUUGGUGACUGGAGUUGGAGCAUAUAUGUUGAUUUAGUAGUAAAAUUACCAAGGGAUGUUUGGUUCCAGAAAGAUUGGUCGGGUUUGUUGGUGGAGAAUGGAAUAAUAGUGUGGUUGAUUAAUUGUAUAGUAGUAGGAUAUAAGGAUAAGGAUAAUCUUCCCAUAGUCCACGAAUGGUUUGAGAUAAUUGAUGAUACUGUUAGUUGUUCCUCCAUGUGUUGUAAGGGGACCUGGAUCGUGUGGCGCAUGCAGCUAUUGUUUGGGAGCCAGUUGUCGUUCCAGAGGUUGAUGGUUGAUCCAUCCUCUAUGUUCCAAGAGAGCCAUGUUUGGAAGAGGCCAGUGGCUUUGGUCAUGCUUUUCCGUAUGUAUGAAUCAGUUGGCUUAGCCUGGUAUGUUCCUCAAUGUCUAUGUUGAACAUAUUUUGCUUGAAGUAUUUUGGCACAUAAGAAGUUUGCACUCAUAUGGGAGUUUUUAGCUAAAAUUAUCCCUUAUUUUUUAGGGUAAGUCUAACUUUAUCAUUUAUCUAUUGCCCUGAGCACUUAUUGUCCUUUAAGUUUGCUAAACUUGAGCAGGUUAGUCCAUUUAAUAAAAGACCCAAAGGGAGACCUAAAAACUACCAGUGAUUUCACUUUCACUUAGUCAACUGGUAAAGAAACUUUCGGUACUCAAAUUUUGCAGAACCGAUGUAGUGAACCUAAACUUUUUUAACGGGCCGGGUUGACCCGGUUCCGGACCGCCCCGGACUGAUGGAAGGGGGGCGGGUAGGGCUGUGUUUGGGGGGUUGGUCCGUAUAUAUUUUUUUACCGGUCAAACUCGGUCAAUGAAAAUUACUGUUGAACCGGUUAACCAGACCGGUCCAGUUGAAAAAACUAGUGACCGGUCGGUCACCAAUCCUGGCCGGUUAUCGAGUUUUUAAAACCGGGCNNNNNNNNNNNNNNNNNNNNNNNNNGGCACAUCCGGUAAAAAAUUGAACCGGAACGAUUUUGGGCCUAAUGGGUCGGGCCAGGUUCUGGGCCUAAGGGCCCGGCCCAGCCCAGCCCUUUAUCACCUUUAAGAUUGUAGAAACAAGUGUGGUAAUUUUAAAAAAAAAUUAAAAAAACAGUCGUUGAACCGAGUCGGUCCGGUUAACCGGUUCAACAGUAAUUUUCAUUGACCUGGUUUGACCGGUCUGGUUAACUGAUAAAAAAAUAUAUACGGACCAACCCCCUAAUCCCCCAAACCCAACCCUACCCGGCCCACUUCCACCGGUCCGGGCGGUCCAGUUUACUACCGGUCUAGACCGGUCCGGAAUCGGGUCAACCCGGCCCGUUAAACAAGUUUAGGUUCACUACAUCGGUUCUGCAAAAUUUGAGUACUAAAAGUUUCUUUACCCAGUUGACUCAGUGAAAUCACGAGUAGUUUUUAGGUCGCCAUUUGGGUCUUUUGUUAAAUGGACUAAACCUUCUCAAGUUUAGCAAACUAAAAGGACAAUAAGUGCUCAGGGUAAUAUUUAAAGAAUAAAAUUAGACUUAACCCCAAAGAUGAGGAACAAUUUCAGCUAAAAACUCCUCGUAUGGAAAUGCCAAAGUAACCCUACUAGCAUAGCAUAAUUUUUAUCAAACAGUUUUAUAUAGUCACAAGUCCCCCUAGUAAUUUGGGAGUGAUUCCGUCUCCCAACUGGUAAGGUGGAUUUUCUUUUUUCCGGGGUUGAUCCCCACGGAAAAUUUCUUUGGAGGUGACAAAAUUCUAGGUUGUACGUACCACCAGCUAAUAAUCGAUGCAGACUAAAUUAUAAAAGAAUGUACCCAACAUAAUGAAUGUCAUUAAAUGAGAAAAACAGUAUAGCAUUGCCAAAAGAUGCUAGAACGUCGCAGAAAACAAUGUAACACAAUGAAACGUUGGGCUAUGAAACAAAGAAAACUAUAAACUCUCCUACAACCAGGACCUCAAAGUGCUCUGUGAUUCUCGUUUAUGCAAAACUUUGUGCACAGCUCUCUAAGCGCGAACCCCUCUGUUAAGAUUAACCAUGCGACCUGAUCCAUCCAUCUGACUUCCCCUCGNNNNNNNNNNNNNNNNNNNNNNNNNNNNNNNNNNNNNNNNNNNNNNNNNNNNNNNNNNNNNNNNNNNNNNNNNNNNNNNNNNNNNNNNNNNNNNNNNNNNNNNNNNNNNNNNNNNNNNNNNNNNNNNNNNNNNNNNNNNNNNNNNNNNNNNNNNNNNNNNNNNNNNNNNNNNNNNNNNNNNNNNNNNNNNNNNNNNNNNNNNNNNNNNNNNNNNNNNNNNNNNNNNNNNNNNNNNNNNNNNNNNNNNNNNNNNNNNNNNNNNNNNNNNNNNNNNNNNNNNNNNNNNNNNNNNNNNNNNNNNNNNNNNNNNNNNNNNNNNNNNNNNNNNNNNNNNNNNNNNNNNNNNNNNNNNNNNNNNNNNNNNNNNNNNNNNNNNNNNNNNNNNNNNNNNNNNNNNNNNNNNNNNNNNNNNNNNNNNNNNNNNNNNNNNNNNNNNNNNNNNNNNNNNNNNNNNNNNNNNNNNNNNNNNNNNNNNNNNNNNNNNNNNNNNNNNNNNNNNNNNNNNNNNNNNNNNNNNNNNNNNNNNNNNNNNNNNNNNNNNNNNNNNNNNNNNNNNNNNNNNNNNNNNNNNNNNNNNNNNNNNNNNNNNNNNNNNNNNNNNNNNNNNNNNNNNNNNNNNNNNNNNNNNNNNNNNNNNNNNNNNNNNNNNNNNNNNNNNNNNNNNNNNNNNNNNNNNNNNNNNNNNNNNNNNNNNNNNNNNNNNNNNNNNNNNNNNNNNNNNNNNNNNNNNNNNNNNNNNNNNNNNNNNNNNNNNNNNNNNNNNNNNNNNNNNNNNNNNNNNNNNNNNNNNNNNNNNNNNNNNNNNNNNNNNNNNNNNNNNNNNNNNNNNNNNNNNNNNNNNNNNNNNNNNNNNNNNNNNNNNNNNNNNNNNNNNNNNNNNNNNNNNNNNNNNNNNNNNNNNNNNNNNNNNNNNNNNNNNNNNNNNNNNNNNNNNNNNNNNNNNNNNNNNNNNNNNNNNNNNNNNNNNNNNNNNNNNNNNNNNNNNNNNNNNNNNNNNNNNNNNNNNNNNNNNNNNNNNNNNNNNNNNNAAAAAAAACUACUCAGAUAAAUGAGUCAGCUGAAGGUGCAAUCCGAUAUAAAAUAUAUGAUUAUUUCAGUUACUAUGAAUUUGUUCUGACGAAUUUGGCUAAAACUGAUGGAAUUAAUUUAAAGUUCUGCGACGUUCUUUUGAUUUUACUAUUCCUGGUUUACUCCCAAGCAUCCUUCCAAAGAACAAGUUUUGCUAGUUCCGUUUUCGAGACAUUAUGUCAACAGUUAAUGUCCAAAAUCUUUUAAAACAACAAAAACCUCUAAACUCCCACAUGUGUGAGGAAUGGUUCCCAACAGGUUCCUUCUACCACACGUGAAGAAAGAAAAAUAAAUAACAAAUGAUUUAAUUCUAAGUUAUUCAAGUAUAAGUUUUAGUUCCUUUAUUUACCCAACUCUCUGUUCAGGUCCACCACCUUCACCUUACACAUUUCCUCACUUCAUCAAAUUCUCUUCUAAAACUUUUCUUCUAAUUUUGUCUUCUCUCCAAAUUUCACUUUUGUCAGCAUUCAACCACAAAAAUGGUUCAAGCAAAGUGUAACCAUAUAUUCUUCAAGCUCAUGUCUUUAGCACUAUACACCCAAUUUGUGCCCUGAUAUGCUUCCAAUUCUUUUUCUAAUUUCCCAUAAUUUCCUUUGCCUCAUAGCAAUUUCCUCUUUCAGCCAUCACAAAAAUACAAUUCCGAAGAUAAUAUCACAAAUUUCACCUAUCUGUCUCUAUUAGAAGGACUCUCACUCUGCAUUAUUAUACUGUCAAAUCCUAAUUGCCACACCUAUCAACUCUUGGCUCUUUUCUCAUUUUCAGUUAAAUGGUUGCCAAGAAUUACGACUUCUCACUCGCAGUAGUGGAAAUGGCAUGGAUUAUGCUAAGGAUUGACUACUGAGGAAUCCUUUGGGUUCUUUUUGGCGUCUUCUCUUAUGAAAACCAUGAGGAAACGCCACAGAUUUAAGUAGAAAAAGUUACAGAGUAUUGCUCUUUUACGGGAUUCUAAAACUACAACUUUAGAUACCCAUGUAACUCAAUAAGUAAACCAACAAAUAAACUGAUCUUUCUUUUCGAGUUUAAACUAGAACCCACUUUCUUGUUGAACUGCGCCACACAAACACUCUGAAACAGAUACUAACUACUACAAAUAUGAAGUACAAUAAAGCAGCUAAUCUCAAAACAUAACAAAGGAGGAACAUAAGGGCACAUAAUAAGAACAAAUUUCUUACAUAAAAGAAAAAGAAUGAAAAUUUUCAGCAAAGAAACCUGUUCUGGGGUCUUCUCAUGAUAUCGACUUUGGGAGACACCUUGCGCGAGUAACUCCUUCACCCGGCCGGCAGAAUAGAGUUCAGCCAAGCAGCCAUGCGCUUCUGCAACAAGUGCCGCCCUGAAUGCACAGAGACCGAGCUGAGCCAUGGCUCUGUUGAAAAGUAUCUGAGUUGAAAUGUCCAUGUGCUGGAUAUUAUCUUGUAAGUGACUCAUCAAUAACAAGUCACGGGAUACUGAAAACUCAUCCAAGAUAGCAUGGUGGUAUAUAUCACAGAGCAUUGCACGGGCCUUGGUUCGUUCAUCCCCAUAUUUAUAUAUGAGAGAAACGAGACUGUCCAUCACUGUCCUGCUGUUCUCUUCAAAAGCAGGUUUCCUGGGCACAAGCUCUGGAGUUGCAACAAAUGCAGUUGGACCUCUACUCUCCUCAACCACUUUGUUUUCUUCUACAGACUCUGCCUCUCCUUCUCCUUCNNNNNNNNNNNNNNNNNNNNNNNNNGGUAAGCUCAGCCAACUUCCUCAUAGCAUCAUACACUCCUUGUGGUUUAUAAUAAAUGAAUUCAACCUGUUUCAGAGCCACUUUUGCAGCACCCUUGUAGUCUCCCGCACGUUCUAAAUAAUGUUGGACAUUUUGAGCAAGAACCAAAAAUAACGGCUCAUCCCUCAGCCUCUCAACAUACUCACGGGUAUGUGGAUCAAUUACCUGCAAGCUCUUGAAAAACUCUACAUCUAUCCUUUCAACAAAGGCAACCAAGUUUCCCCAGAUCCUUAUCGUCCCCGAGUGGUCUGCUCCUUUCUGGGUCUCAUUUUCAUCUGGCUCCACCAUGUCAUCAACCACAAUAUUUGGGUAUUGGGUCAAAACAUCGAGGAUGGUAAGCAUAUUCUGCACGCACUUUUUCCACACAUUUAUAGGCAUGUGUCCACUGAGACUUGGAUUAACGUCAAACUGGGCAGAUACAACACUAAACAGAAUUUCAAGCUUUUGUGCUGGAGUCUUGGCCACCUUGGUCAAGAAGGUGAGCUGUUCAACCAAUUCAAUCUUUCCAGUCCCCUUUCUACCCCUAGCGGCAACAAUUUCCUUGAACUUCUUGUUGACCGUCUCCCAGGUGAUUUGACUUGGAUCCUUGAACUGUUUAUCCAAAAGUUUUUCUUUCUUGCUCAGCAUCUUCUCCCACCCGGUACCGCUCUCGGUUGUCUCAUCCCGACUUUCAUCUUCGUCAUCUUCCUCAUCAGACGCAGCUGCAAUCUUUGUUGGGUCCUCCUCAAACUCAUCUUCAUCAUCCUCUUCUGACUCUUCUGACUCUUCAUCAUCACCAGCCUCAUCCUCACUCUCGGGAGGAUUUUCCCUGUACUUGUUAAUCAACUCCUCAUACUGCUUGUUAUUCUUUUUCAGUUUCUGUUUCAUCGAAUUUAAGGCUUUAGCAUUACUACUACUCAUCUUCUUCUUUGCCUCCUUAUUGGCCAAAGCCUGACUCAAGAAAUCCUCCAGCAUCACUAGAGCUUUGAUAUAGAGAUUUGGUGCUUUAACCGAUUCUGUAAUGCGCAUGACCUUCUCCAGCUGCCUAUUGAUCUUAUCAAAGCUCUCCUGCAAGCUGACCCAGUCAUUAAUCUUCAUAGCAUUCUUCAUCUGAUCAACGGUAGCAGACAAUUCCUCAAAGCGCUUAUCCUUUGCUGACCGGACAACUCGCUUCUGUCCAUCUGACUCAUCACUGUCGCUGUCACCAGCUGCAAGGUAUCUUGACCCAGCCGCUGCAGCGGUAGUCUCAGCCGGCCCUUCGUCAUCCUCCUGCUCGUAAUCACUCUCCUCCUCCUCCUCGGUUUCACUAUCGCCCUGCAAAUACCAUAGUAUGAAUCAAUUAAAUAACACCUUCUCUAAACCCUUAUACCUUCCCUAAACCCUUAUACUUUAUGCAGAAUGAGCUAUGCCCAACAGACUGCCAUAUGCAAAAUCAAAUCACUCAUCAUAGGACCUUACUUUUCUAGGUUCACUAAGCAAUUCCUUCUGAACAGUUUAAGAUUAUAUUUCACAUCACACUGUUUACACAAACAAGUAAAUUGCUUUUCAGCAGAAUAGAUGGCGAAAAGUGUGAACAAAUACACAUUAUCGUGAUUUGUAUCCAAAGGUCACUUAGACAUUGAAUAAUUGGAUUAUGAAAUUGCAAUUCAAAACAUCCAGAUGCAAGUAUCCAUUCAUUAUGUUCGGGCACUUUUUACAUCCAAUUCAAAACAACCAGAUGCAAGUACAAUCACAUAACAAUAUAUUAUGCCUCAAUCAAAAGCUAGCUGGGGUCGGCUAUAUGAAUCAUCACAAUCCAUUUAGCUCUAUAUAGAUCAGAUUCAUUCCAAUAUUCAAUAAUUUAGGAUUAUCUAUCACUAGAGUUCACAUAAAUUAAUUUAAAAAUAUAUCUUUAUCAAUAGUUAUCAAAAAAAUAAAUCUUUACCACUGUAAAUUGGUGAAUAGAUUACUUUACUCAUCCAAACACAUAAAGAAAAAACUAAAUCUUUAAUUGAGGUGAAAAAAUCAUUUACCUGAGUCCAAAAACGGGACGCCAUACUUCUUCAAAAAAUUCUUCGAGAAACGGAGAUAGAAUGAGCUGCAAUUACUCAAAAUAAAAUAUCAGAUUGUGAAUAAAUCAACGAAUGAGUUUGCUACUUCAGCAGUUUUACAAACACCAAUUUUGAAGAAGAAAAGAUUCGAACCUGUAAGCUGGAACUGUGGUUUACAGAAAGCUUAGCGGAGAAAGGGAAGAGGGAAUGGAAUUUUACAGUAAAAACCCUAGAGAAUGAUAAGGCUUGGUCCGACUCGGCUUUUGGGCUUUUAUGGGGUGGGAAUAUGAAGUCACUAAUCGAACAAGGCCACGGCCCAAUGUAUUUCGUUUUGAGAAAACUAACCUCUAUAGCCCCUCAAAAUUUUAAUAAUCUAUGUUUUUUCUCACUUACACGAAAUGGCCCUUCGGCCCAAACAUAUUACAUCUAAUAGCCUGAAAUAUCUAUUUAUAUAUGUUUUAUAUAGUGUCAGUUUAUUUUAUAUAUUUAUUGUAUAGUGAUAGUAUAUUUUGUAUAUAUUUUUGUACUAUUUAGUAUAUAUUUUGUAUAGUGACUAUCUAUUUUGAAUAUAUUUUGUAUAGUGACAGUAUAUUGUAUAUAAAUUGUAUAGUGACAGUCUAUUUAGUAUAUUUUUGUAUAGUGACAGACUAUUUUAUAUAUAUUUUGUAUAGUGAUAGUCUAUUUAGUAUAUUUUUUAUAUAGUGACAGUCUAUUGUAUAUAAAUUGUAUAGUGACAGUCUAUUUUGUAUAAUUUCCUUACACUUCCAUGUUUGCCCAUUAGGGACCCAUUAAAUCUCGUGAACACAAACUUCAGACAAACACGGCAGAAUUCUCAACCCAUGCGGCCCACAAUCCAAAAAGGAAUUUAAGUUCUAUAAAUUAAUAUAAUUACAUAUAAAUUUUAACCACUUCUGUUAGUGUAAAGAUUGGUGGUUAAAAUUUGCCAAAGAACAAGAAAUAUCCAACUACUACGAGUUAGUAUAUUGAAGCAUACUCUCAUUUCAGAAGCAUCACAUUCAAAUAAAUCCAUUAAGGAAUUUCGUCGAGCAACUCCGAGGCAUGACAAUGAAGACUGCUCCAAAGUGUACAAACUAACACUCACCAGAACAGUAGGUAGCUAUCAACCUAAGACUAAUAAACGAAAAGCAUUUCUAGAAGCAAAUUAAAUCUGUCACAAAACUAGAAAACGGACAUCCGCAGACGAAUUUCAUUGAACAACUCAGAUGUAAUGACAAACUUCAAAAAACGCUGCUUUAGAGUAUAAUCGCUGAAGGAGAAUGAAGUUAGAGUUUUGAGGAGGUGGUGGUUGUGGUGUUGGGUGAGGAUGAACGGAUAGUGUGAUUUAAAUUCUGACAGCGGCGGAGGAACGGCGGAGAGAGCGGAGGAGGAUACCAUAGAGAGGGGGAAGAGUGGCAGUGGUCUUGGGCUAGUCUUUCAAUUAGUUAUGGGCUAUAAAAUGCAUACUGCAAUUUGUGGCUAGCGGCCGAUAUUAGUUUCUAGCUGAUGGCCAUAAAUGAAGUUUGCUCUUUCGUUUUCAGGCAAAAACCACUUUUCGUUCGCGCCAGAAACUAUUUGUAUCUGAUAGCUGUAAAAAUAUAUGAAUUUGAUAUAAUUUUUAUGUAUAACAAACAAAAAUAUAUAUAGAUAAGAAAAUAUAUUUUUUAUCUACUAUUUUGAGAGUUGUUAUAAGGUGUCAUUUUCCCUUUGUUUUUCUCCUUCCUUCUAUGAAUACGAACCGACGGAAUGCCUAAAAAUUCCUAAACUUGGCAUGAAUUAUUAGUUGUACCCUUAAAUUAUUUGAUACUUAAAUACCCCCUUGAACUUGGUUAUUUGAUGGUCGUUACCCUUCUGAAUAUUGUUGGGACAAAAAGGAUGAAUAUAGUCUCUUUUUAUUUUGAUUAAUUGCUUCGAUAGAUACAUUGUCUAUUUAUUAUAACUGUUAUUUAUUUUUCAUCGAGUCAAAUUUGUGAAAAUUUGGCUAAAAAUUCAUAUUUUAGCCAAAUAAAAAGUUAUAACUAAAAUAAUAGAGUACUAAAUGUGUAUUUCUUGUUAUUUUAUUAGAUAAUAUGGCUAUUUAUUUCAAUUGGGUAUUUUUAUUUUCGAAUCAAAUCAUUAAAAGAACUUGGCUACAGCUCCACUAUUUUUUAUUAAAUAAAAAAAAGUAUAGCCAAAAUAACGAUCUUGCAAUUGUGUACUUUUCUUUUAUUUCUUUGUUAUAUGUUAUAGUUAUUUUAUAUUAGUUGUGAACUUCUCUUUGUUAUAUGCUAUAGCUAUUUCUUUGGGGAUUAUCUACUCUUCAUUAAAUUUGAUAAAGGCAUGUGUGCGGACCGCAACGUCAUCCCGAGUGAGAACCUCAGGACCCAGCAUAGGCUCCUGAUCAUGGAUUUGGAGAUUAUGAGGAAGCGAAGAAAGAGGGUUGUGUUUGGUUUACCUAGGAUCAAGUGGGGAGCUUUAGCUAAAGACAGAGCCCAGGAGUUGGGUGAUAAGUUGUUGACUAUGGGGGCAUGGAGGAGUAGUGAGACACGAGUGGUAUGUGAACUGCGACUUCAAAUUGCAUUAGGGAAGUUGCUAGAUAGGUAUUGGAGGUCCCGAAGGGCUCCUCUGGUUGCCGCCAUAAGGGACUGUUGGUGGAGCACUAAGGUCCAAGGUAAAGUGGAAGUCAAGAAAGCGACAUAUUUGAAGUUUUUAGAGAGCAUGGACGAGGAAUAGAAGAGGACGAAUAGCGGUAUGAGAUGGCUAAGAAGGAAGCAAAGUUAGCGGCUACCGCGGCUAAGACUGUCGCAUUUGAACGCUUGUAUGAAGAACUUGGUAGAAAAUGAGGAGACAAGAAGUUGUAUAAGCUAGUCAAGAUGCGAGAAAAAAAGGCAUGUGACCUGGACUAAGUGAAGUGCAUCAAGAACGAGGAAGGCAGAGCUUUGUUGAAUGAUGCACUUAUUUGACAGAGAUGACAGACUUACUUUCAUAAACUAUUGAAUGAAGAGAGGGAUAAGAACAUUGUACUGGGUGACUUAGAGCACUCUGAGAGUCGUCGGGACUUUGGGUAUUGUAGUCAUAUAAAAGUUGAGGAGGUGGAGGGGGCUAUGCACAAGAUGAGCAGUGGGAGAGCGGUCAAACCAGACAAAAUUUCGGUGAAAUUUUGGAUGAGCAUGGGCAGGGCGGGCUUGGAAUAACUCACUGGGUUAUUUAAAGUAAUUUUUAGGAUAAAGAAUAUGCUUGAAGAAUGAAGAUGGAGUACAAUGAUCCCAUAGUAUAAGAACAAGAAUGAUAUAAAAAAUUGCAAUAACUAUCGGGGUAUCAAGUUACUAAGCCAUACUAUGAAAGUCUGAGAAAGGGUGAUGAAGCUGAGGGUGAGGAGAAUUGUGUCUAUUUCUGAUAACUAAUUCGAAUUUAUGCUGGGACGUUCGAUUACAAAAGUUAUUCACCUUGUUAGGAGGUUGAUAGAGCAGUAUAGGGAGAGGAAGAAGGAUUUGCAUAUGGUGUUUAUCGACUUAGAGAAGGCUUACGACAAAGUGAUGAGGGAGGUUUUGUGGAGAUGUUUGGAGGCUAGAAGUAUUAAUGUUGCAUACAUUAAGGCUAUUAAGGACAUGUAUGGUAGAUCUAAGAUUCGAGUGAGAACGGUGGGAGGGGUUCGGGACACUUCCAGUUAUGAUGGGGUUGCACCAGGGAUCAGCCCUCAGCCCAUUUUUAUUUGCCCUAGCGAUUGACGCACUUGCGCGCCAUAUUCAAGGGAAGGUGUCAUGAUGCAUGUAAUUUGUAUAUGGCAUUGUACUUAUUAACAAGACGCGAGGCGGUGUUAAUGAGAGGUUAGAGAUUGGACGCAGACCAUGGAGUCUAAAGGCUUCAAAUUGAGUAUGACAAAAACAGAAUAGUUGGAGUGCAAGUUUCAUGGUGUGACUCCGGUAGUGAAUGAAGACGUUAGUCUUGAUUCAUAAGUCAUACCUAAGAGAGAGAGUUUCAAGUACCUUGGGUCAGUUAUACAAUAGAAUGGGGAGAUCAAAGAGGAUGUCACACAUCGUAUUCGGGCGGGGCGGAUGAAAUGAUGGCUCACUUUUGGUAUUUUUUGUGAUAAGAAUGUACCAUCAAAACAUAAAGGUAAGUUUUAUAAAGCGGCGGUCAGACAAACAAUAUUGUAUAGGGAAGAGUAUUGGCCAGUCAAGAACUUCCAUCUCUAGAAGAUGAAUGUGGCUGAAAUAAGAAUAUUGAACUAGAAGUGCAUGUAUACCAUGUUAGAUAGAAUUAGAAAUGAAAUUAUUCCGGACUAGAUGGGGCGUGACCCCUAUGGAGGACAAGAUACGGGAGGUGAGACUUAGAUGGUUCGGGCAUGUGAAGAGGAGAGGCACAGAUGCACCAGUGAAAAUGUGUGAGAGGUUGGCCUUGGAGAGCCUAAUGAGAGGUAGAGGCAGACCGAAGAAGUAUUCGGGAGAGGUGAUUAGGCAAGAUAUGGCGAUGCUCCAGCUUACUGAGGACAUGACCAUGGAUAGAAAGGUGUGGAAGUUGAGAAUAAAGGUAAAUGGUUAGGUAGUCGAGUGUCCUUAUUUGUAACAAUAGCUUUAGUACAUUACUUAGUAUUAACCAUGUGUUUUCGUACUCCUAGACUUCUGUUAUUACUUGUUGUUGCUUUUGUUUCGAUUUUCUGAUUGUGUUAUCUAGUGUUAGUUUUGUUAUUGCCCCUUCCUUUUAUCUUUCCUGAGUCGAGGGUCUAUCAAAAAUAUCAUUUCUGCCUUCUUAAAGAUAGGAGUAAGGUCUGCGUACACAUUACCCUCCCCAGACAUCACAUAUGGGAUUACACUCAGGCUUUCUUUUGUUGUUGUUGUUGUUGUUAUUAUUAUUGUAUAUCUUUUUGGGCAAAAUUUGUAAAAAAAAAUAAAAAUAAAAAAAUCUUAGAGCUUCAUAAUUUAGCUAAAUAAAACUUUUUAGCCUAAAUGAUAAAGUUCAAAUUAUGUAUUUUUUGUAUCAUUUUUUACAUGUAUGACUAUUUGUUUUAACGGUGCAUUUCUUCAUUUCAAGAUAAAUUUUAAAUGAAUUUAACUAAAGUUUCAUCAAUUUUAUCUAAAUAAUUUUUUUUUUACCUAAAUUAUGGAGUUCUAGCCAAGAUGAGAUUAUUAAUGGGAUAUCGACUAUUGAAUACCCAAGUUCAGGGGAAUACCAAUUAAAAUUAUAAAUAGUUUAAGGGUGUAACCAAUAAUUCAUACCAAAUUUAGGGGGAUUUUAUUUUUAGUAUAUAAAGCUACAAGUUAUUUGGACUUCAGAUUUUAUUUUUACUUUAAAUAUAAUAUUUUAUUAAAGUUACUAAUUAAAUCCUCUUAUAAUUUACUAUUUGCAUUAUUAGAUCAAUUGUUAUGUAAAAAGAAAAAUAAUCAUUUUAUCUAACAACCGAAUAUGGUGAGAUUAUUACGUCAUUUCUCAUUUCUAUUUUGCCUUCAUUAUUCUUUAAGCUCCUCCUUUUGGUCAAUACUAAGGUUGCCUAAAAGGACGGGACGGCCCGACCCAUCCUGGUCCUAUCCUGACCCGUCUUGUGUUAGUGAGAUGGGAUAUAGUGGGUAAAGCGACGCGAGAUGGGACAGAUCGUCUAUUUUGUCCCGAUGGACCUGUCUGGUAAUGGCUCGGUCCCGGCCCGACAACCCACAAAAUAUAUUUUUUUUUAAAUAAAGCAGGUUAACCAACGACUUUAUUUUCAAAAAUAACAGUUGGCAAUGGUUAAAAACGUCAAAAAAUCCCCCCCCCCUCCCCCCAAACUUUUAAUUUAACUCUUAAGUUUAUUAAUUUAUACUUUGAUCCUAUUUUAACUAAAAAUAUCCCCAUUCUUUUUUUCACACGAAUCUUCAUUCUCUUUCUAAUCUCUUACUCNNNNNNNNNNNNNNNNNNNNNNNNNUAUAUAUAUAUAUAUAUAUAUAUAUAUAUAUAAUAAAACUAAGAAUUACAUUGCAGAUUACUGUCUAAAUUGGGGUAUUGCAGUUCCCCUAAAAUGGCCAUAUUUCGUUCAAUUGUAUCACUAUUACAUGCCCAAAAAUUCCUAACUACUUCAGUUCCUAGGAUGUCUGCCCAAAAUACAUCAUUUGCAAACAUCGGAGGAACUGCUAGCAUGGCAGUUCUACCCAAAAAAAUUUGAAUUUGGUGCCUCUUUUACCGUGCAUUGGCCACUCUAUUCUGUUCCCUGAGGUUGUGCCUCACCAUCACCUUGUCCAUCCAUUGCAUUAAUAACCCGCAUUCACAAAUCAUAGGAUUGUAAGUUGUGUUGCUUAUGAGUAGCUUUUUUAUUACUUCAGCUGAAUCUGUAUUUAUGUCUAGUGGAAUCUAGCUAUUUUGUUAUACUAGUUGUAUGCCCUUUAGCAAUGAUUUUAGUUCUGCCAUGGUGUUGGUGGUAUGUGGUAUAUUUUCCAUAUACCCCAUAAUCCAAUCUCCACUAUGAUUCCUGAAUACUCCACCAAUUUCCCCAAUGACUGGGUUGCCCUUGGCAGCCCCAUCCGUGUUGAGUUUAUAGUGGCCCCUCGUGGGGGGUUUCCAUUUAACUCCGGUAUGGAAUGGCCUCCUGAUAGCACCAUUUUGUGCCAACAUAUAGUACUCUGUUGCUUUGGAGAUGGUGUUAUUAGCACUGCUGUUAUCUCUUUUAUUAUUGAAAAGGUUAUGGUUUCUCACUAGCCAGAUGUGCCAAAAACAAAAAGGAAUGAUGUUCUCUUAUGGGAUGAUGUUGUUGAAGGAGAGCUUCUUCAGCUUAUUCCAUGUUAAUGACCAUAGUUGAGUUGAGAAUAUGGGAUUCAAUUGUUGACUUUCAGUAAAUCCCUUGGCUAGUAUUUCAUGCCAGAAGUGGGUUACACUGGCGGCAUUCAAAGAAGAAAUGGUCACUGGUUUCAGGAGUUGCUGAGAAAAAAUAAUAUUAAGGGUUGCAAUUAACCCCAAUUAUGUGCAGGAAAGCUCUAGUAGGUAGCCUAUCUUGGGCAAGUAGCCAAAUAAAUAUUUUGAUUUUGUUAGGAACUUUUAACUUCCAUAUCCAAGUGAAGUUGACUUUCUCUUCUUUCCACAAAAUCUGAUUAUUGUUGCUAAGGAAGGUAUAGGCUGAUUUGGUGGUGAAAGACCCACUUGGAGUCAACCCCCAUAUUAGCAUGUCUUCCCUGGCAGAGUUGGUAGGGAUGGAAGUUCAUUUGAUUAUGUUAGUAAUGUUCUCAGAGAUGUCUAUAGAUAUGGAAGAGAGAUCUAGUUCCUAGAAUUGUAGACAGUGUCCACUUUGGCAGUUAUGUCAUUCGGAAUUAGAGGGCCCUCAAACAUGUUUCUAAUUGCUGGAUGGUUUGGGAUCCAUGCAUCAUUCUGAAAAUCACCAUGUUUCCUUUGUGGACAACUCAUCUACUAGCCUUAUUGCAUGUAUCUCAGCCCUUAAGGAUACAUUGCCAGAUUAGAGAUUUUGGCUUAUUGGGGUAUGGUUCCAGUUAUAGUACUUCGGGACUCUAGCCCAUAAACUGGAGGUGUUAUGGUAUAUCCUCCAAGCCAUCCCAGUAUGGGAUACUUUAUUUUAAAGCGCAACUUUCUAUAAACCCAACCCUCCAUAAGACUUCUGCCUGAUGACUUUGUCCCAGCCAACCAGUGUAAUUUUUUCUUAUUUGGAGUUGUGCCCCAAAUAAAAUUCCUCUGAAUUCUAUCAAUUUGUUUGGUAGUCUUGGUAGACAAUUUAAUAUAUUGCAUAAUAUGGAUUGAGAUACUACUAAGAGAGGACUUGGCAAGGAUGAUCCUUCCAGUCAUAUUUAGAUAAUUUGUUUUCCAGCCAUCCAGUUGGAUUGCAUAUUAUCAAUUAUGAACUGGAAGUCAAUACUAGUGGGUCUCUUAUGGAACAUAGGGAAUCCUAGGUAUUUCCUAAAGGAUGUUGUAGCUUGGAUUGACAGGGCAUUUGUGAGGCAUUCCAUUGUGUCUUGCCUUGUGUUAGAGGAGAAAAGAACCUUGGAUUUGGUGAGAUUGAUUUUUUGGCCAGAAUCCUCAUUGAAUGCCUACAGGAUAAAGUAAAUUAUGGUGCAGUUCCUAAUGUUUGCUUUUGCAAAGAGGUUAAGGUCAUCAGAAAAGAAUAGAUGAUAAAUUUUUGGGCCAGACCUACUGAUACUGAUAGGGAGCCAUUGUUUGUCCUAAACAUAUUUAUCAAUUGACCUGGAGAGCCUCUCCAUACACAGAAUGAACAGGUAAGGGGAGAUUAGGUCCCCUUAUUUGAUUUCCCUAUUUGCCUGAAGUUUUUGAGCAUGGUGGCUUGGGGACACUUAGGAACGAGACAUAUACGAGUUUGAUUCAUGGUCUCAUCCGUAGAGUGUGUGUCAAAGCAUUGCUUGUCUAAGUCUACUACUGAGUUCCCCACAAUGCUCCAGUACCUUUGGUAAAAGAAGGGGUGAAGCCCAUCCAGGCCCGGUGCCUUGAAUGGCUUAAAGGAGAAGAUGGCCCUUUUGAUUUCAUUAACCUCAAGGGACCUAUCCAAGUUGUCUCUUUGAUAGUUUCGUAGGAUAUGGGUCAUGUCCAGAUGACUAGUAGUAGAAAUAGGAGCUUGUGUGUGUGAGGAAGCGUAGAGGCUCCUGAAGAAGUGCAUUAUAGAGGCCUUAAUGUCCCUUUAGUCAUAGAGCCAAUUUCCACUCUCCUCUUUGAGGGACAUGAUCUUGUUCCUUCUUCCCCUAUUAAGGGUGGAAGUGUGGAAGAAUCUAGUGUUGGCAUCACCUUCAGUUAGCCAAUUGACCCUUGACUUGAGUUUCCAUAAAUCUUCCUCAUUCUUGAGGAUGGAGUCAAGUUUUCUGAUCAGGUUACUUUCUAAGUUUAGCAGGUAAUUGUUGAAUUGGUAGUUUGGUGAUUUUUGGAUCCCGGCAAUUCUGGCCAGGAUCCUUCUCUUUUUGUGAAAGAUGUUGCCAAAUGUGUUCCUGUUCCACUGGUUUACAAGGCUUUUGAAUGUUUCACUUGAUUGGAUUAGGGGGAGUUAUUAGUUAAGACCACAUUAAUGAUAAUAGGGAAAGAGAGGUGGCUAGUCCACAUUGAUUCAAACCUGAAGGGUCUGUUUGAAUUAUUGAAAGAAUCCCCCAUUAGCAUUAUUUGAACAUGGCAAUGAUCUGAGUAGGUCCUAGGGAGGUGAUUAAUAGUAGCUUCAGGGUAAUGGGAAAUCCAGCAAUCAUUAACAAAGCACCUAUCUAUCCUUUCUAAAAUCAGACUACUCCUAUUCUUAUAUCUUUUGUUAGUCCAGUUGAAUUUAUUGCCUUUGUAAACUAAGUCAACUAGUUUGCAUUCAUUAAGGCAGUUUCAAAAUAGGUUACUACGACUUGAGUUAAUGGGGUUACCCCCAAAUUUAUCCCUAACUUUUAAGACUUCAUUGAAGUCUCCACCUACAAACCAACUCCCAAUAUUGCUUUUAGAGAUAGUAACAAGACUUUCCCAUAACAAUUCCCUAUCAGCUAAAAUGUUGCUAACAUAAAUAGCUGAAAAUAACUAAGGGGUAUGGGAUGGGAGUACCUUUACCAUGGCAUGGAUGCCUUGAUGGGUAGUGGAUACCUCAUCAAUAGUAACACCGUCCUCCUUCCAUAUUAUGACUAUCCCACGAGACAAACCAACAGUUAGAGACUAGAUAAACAUAUCAAAAUGCAGCUCAUCCGUCUGCUUUUUAUGAUCAGCCAUCUUAGUUUCUAACACAACCAGCAGCAUUGGCUUGUGAAGCUAAACCAUGUCGAGGUAGUGUCUCAUGAACUCCACACUGUUUCCACCCCUAACAUUCCAUAUGAUGUAGUUCAUCAGGGGUGGUUGGCGAUUGGGGGGCUAGUUUCUGUGAGGCUUCUCCAUUCCCUGAGAGACUUCGUUGGUUUUUUUUGGUUCCUUUUCUUCAUGCUUAGGACAAGGGUCAAAUUGAGGAGUGGUUUGGUCACACCCUGGGUGUGGUGAGAGACCAGACUCAGACCACACUUGGUUAUGGCUCUGGGACACAACAACAUAAGCACUUCGCUGCUCUCCACACUAAACUUGAUUGCUCUGACUGAGUCCAGUAGGAGAGAGUCUGUGGGUAGGGGGUCGUAGGCUGUUCCUUCCAUUUCCGGUGGCCUUUUUAUUUUUAGAAGGUCUAAGACUUUGUUGAUUUCCCUUGUCAUGUUUCCCAGUGGUGGUGACUGGUUCUUCUCUACAGGAAUAGAAGGUGAUGGAGUUUGGUAGGAUUGGGGCUCGAUAGUCACAAGCACCGAAGACGUUGUUGGGUCCUCCAUUCCCGGGUCUGGGAAGAAGGGGAUUUACUGGAACGCUUGAGAGAUGAGGGUGUUGAGCAUUGGUGGGUCAAGAUUUGGUUGCAUGUUGCCAUUGAUUGUCAUUGCUUGCCACGGGCAUGGGCCAAAUGUUCCCAAGGCCCUGUUUAGGGUGUCCAUCGUUACCCUCGCCAUUUGCGUAUGGUUUUGGACAAUCAAGGUUACUGGUUGAUUUACCAUGGUGAAAUUGUAGGUUAGUCCUUGUCCUUGAAGCGCCACUUCUAGCCAUGAUGCCGUUAAGUGGUCCAGUAGCAGUGGAAGCGACGUCACAAUGGUGGGUGGCGGCUGGGUUUUUUCCAUUUUUGUGUUUUUUUGUUUUACCUCUUUGGGCAAUGGUGUGGGUUAUGUUAACGAGCCGGCUUAUAAUGGUGCCGCUUGGUGUCAAAUCUAGAUUAGUGAAAAGGUCAUCAGUUAAUACAUCUAUAGAAAUGGAUUUAGAAUUAAUGUUGUAUUUGUUUGAGUGGACUGAAGGUGUUAUGCCACCUGAGAUUGGGUGGGUUCUCAGGUGAGGCAACUUGAGUGUUCAUGGAGUGUGGUGAGUUUUCCCCAUUAGAGUACUCUGCUGGGAGGGGAGUAUGGGGCGCGUAGGUAUUUGGGUAAGGGUAAUGUUUUGGACUGGGUGGUUCCAAUUAUGUAUGGACCCCAGUUGUUGAUUUGGUACUGGCGCGGUGGCCCAUGGCCACAUAGUUAGCAGGGCAUGUGUCUGAGGUUGGUCUAUUGGUAGGGGCCUCCUGGUAGGCAUCAUUAACGGGCCCAGUUGGAUUUUUGUUAUCAGCUCCCUCAGGCCUCAUUCCCCCCUUGCGUUUGGCAUUGUACUUGGGUUGGGGCCGCAUGUGUUGGGCUAUUGGGGAGUGGGGAUGGGAUUUUGUUUAUCCACUGGACCACUGGGCCUAUUGUAAUUUUUUGACUGCGUAUUAUUGGACUUAGAAUUAUAUUGAAAAGUUUUGGUUUUCAGAAACUUACCCGAGUUUGCAUCGAACAUUUUUACCUGGAUCUUUUGUGAAUUUUGUGCAUGAUGCUGAAUGUUUUAUUUCAUCUAGGGAAGGUGACUGUCUUCCAUCCAUCGUCCUCUCCUUCCUUAGUGUUUGUUCUUGAAUUUUCAAGGGCUUCUUGUGACAAUGGUGGUUGUAAUAUUUUGAAAUUGCAAUUUUUUGUUGUGUGGCUAAUUCUUCCACAUGUUGUACAUAACGUACCUUCACCUUCAUAAAUCACUGCUUUUUUAUGGUCACCAAUGAUCACUGAUAUUUUCACUAGGGUUUUAAGGGGUACUUGGAUACAGAUGCGUGCAUAUCUUCCUGUCAACGGGGAAGGGGUGCAUGAAUCAAUUUUGAGUAGCUUGCCCACUUUUAUACCAACUUUUUCUAAUAUUUCUUUGUCAUAAAAUUUUAUUAGUAGUUAGGGUAGGCAAAUCCAUAUGGUUGUGGAAGACAUUGUAGCUUCUUGUGGGACGAAUUUUGGUCCCAUUUACGUACUGAUAGAAAAUUCCCAGAGAUGAACCAUGGCCCUAGGUGUAGUGCAUUUGCCAUAUUUUCCUCUAGACUAAAUUUGACAAUGAAGAAGUCACAUCCUAAGUCAAUCAAGAUUAACUGUUCGGAUGGUUUCCAUAGGUCAAUUAGUUUAGAUCGAAGGUAAUGGUGAGACAUUCUACGACCAAAGACCUUUAUGAUUAUUGAGAAGCGUCAUGGUUGAUAUAGGUGAUUCUUGUCUUCUUGUGAGAGGGCGAUUGGGCCUUCAAUAUUUUUUCCUUUAUCAUCUUUGAUGAUUUGGGGGGCAUCCUCGUCAUAGUACUCCGUUUGGCUUACUGCCUGCUUGUCAAGAAGCAUUUCCUUAUAAGAGUGUGGUGUUGUUUCUUUCACAUCCAUUUGGUUAUUUUGUCUGGUGGUUCCGGUGGUAUAAUUGAUGGUGUAGUGGUUGUGUCCAUAAAGCUAUUCUUAGAGAGAUGGGAGAGUUUCUCUGUCUAAAUAAAAUUUCUAAUCUCUUACAUUUUAUCUAUAUUCUUCUCUCAAUUUUCUCAUAAUCAACUACGUUUCAAGUAUUUGGGCAAAUAUUUUGAGCAAGUUUCAAGCUUCAAAUUAAUUCGUCAAAUAUUUGGAGUAAUGUUUUGGACAAUUUCUUCAAGUUUAAAUAUUUAAUCACAGUGUACUCAUUCCAUCUCUUAAUUUUUAUAUUUAAGCUUUACGUAUUAUUUUAGUGUUUAAUAAAAUACCCCUCCCCCUCUCUCCUCCCCCGCACUUUUAAUUUAACUCAUAAGUUUAUUAAAUUUUACUUUGAUCUUAUUUUAACUAAAAAUAUCCCCAUUCUUUUUCCCCCCACACAAAUCUUCAUUCUCUCUCUAAUCUCUUACAUUCUAUCUAUAUUCUUCUCUCAAUUUUCUCAUAGUCAACUACGUUUCAAGUAUUUGGGCAAAUUAUUGGAGCAAGUUUCAAGCUUCAAAUUAAUUCGUCAAGUAUUUGGAGCAAUGUUUUGGGCAAUUUCUUCAAGUUUAUAUAUUUAAUCACGGUGCACUCAUUCCAUCUCUUAAUUUUUCUAUUUAAUUUUUGUGAAUUAUUUUAGUGUUUACUUUUUGUGUUUCAUUUUCGUGUUUCAUUUGUUUGUUUACUUUUCAUAUUUAAAUUAUGGCUUCUAAAAGAGUAUUUGGUAUAACCAACCCAUUUUUAAAGAGUAGUAAAGGUGCUAGUUCUAGUAGUAAUCUAAAUCCUCUUGCUAGAGUUAGAAAAUAUGUAGAGGGUAUGACUUAUGUUGAUGAAACUUCCUUUACCCACCCCCUCAGAUUUUAUGAUAUUAAACCGAAAGAACCACUAGAUCAUGAAACCUACAAAGAUAAUUUGGCAAUGAUAUUAAUUUUAAUGAAGAAGAAGAAAAUAAGGAAUAUGAACUAGAUGAAACACCCACUAAUCUAGCAAUACAAGCUCCAACUUAAAGUCAAUCUUAGUCUAGAGAUUUAUCUCCCCUUGUAUCUCCUGUAAGGGAUAAGGCUAAGGCAGAACGUACAAGAACAUCACUUGUAUGGAAUUUUUUUGAAUUAAGUAAAGUCGCUUCAGUUGCUACUUGUAAAAAAUGUAAAGCACAAUUUGCACAUGGUACGCGUGAAAAUCGGGUGGGACUAGGGGUUUAACCAGACACUUCUUGGUAAACACAACCCUAUAUGGAUAAAAGUUCAAAUAGAUGCGGGAAAAAUAUCAGAUCCUAGCAGCAGUUCUGCCGCUCCUACUGGAUCUGGCGGGGUUUCUAACUAUGUCCAACAACAGUUUUACUCUAUUACUGAUACAAUACUACGUCUCUAUAACAAAGAUAGAGAUCGUGAAAAAUUAACAAAAGUGGUCGAUGUCUUUGGCUUACCUUUUACUUUUCGUUCUCACCCUAAUUUUGUGCAUUAUAUACAAGAAACUUAUAAUUCUAUUUUUUAAGGUUUUCCUAAGACCACGGUUAGAAAUGAUGAUUUUAAAUUUCAAAGUGACUAUCUUUAGUACAUAUGUUGUGUAUGUUACCACUUAGAUUGUAAUGUGUCUAUCAAUCACAUAUAAUAUAGGUCGUAGUUCUAAUGGCAAUGAUUAUUUAACCGUUACAUGUUAUUGGGUUGAUCAAUACUGGAAUAUACAAAAACGUAUUAUUGAUUAUAAAUUUGUUGAUUCAAAAUACACUAGAGCAUAUAUUACAACUAUCGUUCUAGAAAUACUUCAAUUUUAUAGUUUUAUUCAUAAAGUUUUAACUGUCACAUUAGAUAGUAUUGUUGUUAAUACCACUGCAGCAAAUAGCUUAAAAGCUAGAAUUUGCGCAAUUAAUGAAGAAAUUUUUCGUGUUAGAUGAUGUAAGGCCCCGUAAAAUUUCGCCAAGGGAUUCAAGUUUUGUGGUGCUGAGGUAGGGUGAUGUGUACGGAUGUAACAAGGUACAUACUUUUUAGGUUGAAGAAUGCAUCGAGGUAUUGGUAGAAAUUAUUUUGCUGAAGGGCCAGUUAUGCGGUCAGAUUCGCGACCGCAGAUCCAUUAUGCGGGCCGCAUACCCGUCGCAGAGUUGAGCAAAAAAAUGGUUGAAUUUUGAAGGUCGUUUUGCGGUCCAUUCUGCGAUCGCAUAUCCAUUUCGCUGUUAGCAUUUUCCAUCGCAGAUUUGGCAUGAAGAAUUUUGUUGGAUGAUUCUGCGGUCCAUUCUGCGACCGCAUAAGUGGUAUGCGGACUGCAGACAUAUCGCAGACCGGUCCAGACCAGCGCAGUUUUUGGCAUCGUUUUCGCGGCCUAUUUUGCGGGCCGCAUAUCUGUUACGCGGUCUAUUUUGCGAUCUAAGACCUGAGUUCGGAGGGUCCAUUUUCCUAUUUUUAUAACCCGACCUCAUUUUGAUAAAUAGCAUUUGGGGCUCAUUUUGAAACAAAUGUCAAGUAAAAUUUGAGAGAGGUAAGAGUAUUUUAGAGAGAGAAGGGGAAGGCCUAGCGUUCUAAGCACUCAUUCUUGUACCAAUCUUCAAGAAUCAAGGAAGCCACUCACUAUAUCACCAUCUAUCUGGGUAAGUUCUUGUCCUACAUCAUUCAUGCAAAUUGUUUAGGGUUUAAGUAGAUUGUGAAGUUCGAGAUAUGCCAUGCAUGUGCCAAUAAGUGGUAGAAUGUGAGGUUGUUGAACUAUUUUGGGUAGUAUCUUGUUGAAAUUGGUCGAGGGAGGAAAGGAUCACCAUUCUAGAUCUUUGUAAUUAAUCUUGCAUAAUAGGUGUUUGACAAAAUUUCUAAAAGAGCUAUAUCAUGAGAAUCCAUCCAAUUAAUAUUCAAUUUUUUCUAUCUUCCUAUAGAUUGAAUUUGCUAAGAGUAUUGGGACGUUGUAGUAACUUAAGGAAAGCUCAGGCAAGGAAUGUUGGCUAAACUUCUCUCUUGGAAUCGAAUUCCAUGAUGUUCCGUAAGUUUCAAACAUGACUGGCCCAAGUUCCUAAUUCUCAUGUUCCGAGUUAUUCCGUAUAAACGUUACUUUUCCAAAUAAACUUAUGUUGAAAGAUAUGUACUAGAAAUGUGUACCGAAUGCUCCUAUCAUAUUGUGCUCUCCUUCGGAAAUGUAUUCAAAUGUGACCAAUGUGUCGGAAUAUUAUGAUUUCAAUCAUGUUUUUAAUUACAAGUUGUUAUGCCCAAUUGUGAAAGAAAACUCAAUGUGCCUAAGACCCUUAUUGUUCAUAGUCAUGCUUAAGGACUUGAUCCCAAAUGCUCUUACUGUUGAUAACCUACAAAUAUUCUUGAAAGUGAAAGAACUAAUGUGGGAUAUAAAACGUGGCCAUAGUUGUUGUAGCUAGUGCAUUUGAUUUGAAGUCGUGUUUAAAUCGUAAAUUACCAUGCCCUCCUUUAUAAAUAUUUCCAAGGUGAUUUGAGUUCUUACGUACUCAAGAGUUGAAAUUGUAUAUUGCCCUUUUGUGAAGAAGUAUUUAAAAAGAUACGGUAUAGUACUCGCUUAUGAUUUUUAACUUGUGUUGUGAUUACAAGUCAUUGUGCUCCAUACUUUAAAAAAGGGAUCUAAUGUGUUUAAAGCUUUCAUUACUAAUGAACUUAAAGUUGUGAUUUCCGAAAUAUUAUAUAUAUUGAUGUUUAUGUUGAUGAUCCUUGAAAGUAAAGAAAUGAAAGCGUGAAAUGUAAAAUACGACCAUCGUGUCAUGAAAGAAGAAACAUAAGUAUGGCCAACAGGGCCGAUGAAAUAAUAAUGAUGAUGUGAAUGGUUAAAGUUACUAACGAGGCUAUAUGUAGUGUGAAAGUUAACGAGGUGAAUAUAACUUUUGUUUCCCUUGUGUGCAAAACAAAAAUAUUUUUGGGAGUAUCAUUAGCAAACCGAGGAAGGGUGGGUCAUAAGGCCCACACCCGAAACUACACGUGCCAGUGUAGGGGUGGAUUGUGAUUAUUCCCCUUAAUUGGGAUGAGUUUGAAAUAUUGAGAUGAUUGUGAUUAUUCCCCUUAAUUGGGAUGAGAUGAUAUUAGCUGUGAAUUGGAAAGUCAACCAACACGGCAUAUGUGGGAAGGCGGUCUAGUCGGUCGGAUGAAGAUCGGACGCCAUAUUGUGCACAUGGUGGUACUACUCUUGGUAACACAUUUUUUUCACAUCACAUGUCAAACCACAUUGUCCGUGGGGAGAUGGCCUAGCUGAUCGGGCAUGAUCGGACUUCGUGCUAAAAAUACGAUGGUAUAUCGGUGCUAAUGAUCUCCCAACCAAACAUAUAUAUAUUUUCGUAUUUUGAAAAUUGUUAUGUUUUAACUUGGCAUUUGGAUAUCAUUGAUUGUUAUUUGUUGCUUCCAUGGUGUUUCCCCUUCUUAUAUUGGCGUUCUAUUUCGAAAGAGGACAUUUAGCUUUACAUACUAGUAUUAUUCCACAUGUACUAACGUCCAUUUUUACCAGGGGCGCUGCAUCUUCAAUGGAUGCAGGUGGUUCAUCAGCGGGCAACUUUGGUCCUCGUUAGCAGUCACUCUCUAUUCAACAGGUUUUGGUGAGCCGUACUCUGUUCUGGGCCUUGUGUCAUUUGAUGUUGUAUUUUGAGCUUUGAGGUAUAGUCGGGGCCUUGUCGCCAACACUUCCAUUCUUCUCUGUUGUUGUACUUAGAGGCUCCGUAGACAGGUUGUGAGUGGUGUUUGAUGUUGGGUAAUGAACUAUAAGUGUUGGUAUGUGGCAAACAUGUUUUUCAUCAUAUCUAUAAACUUGUAAUAUUUUGGAUUUCAAUAGAUAUUCAUAAGAGAUAUUUUAAACUACUGUACAGUCACAUUGGCCUCUGGCACAAUCAGAUUUGAAUUUGCUUUAUUACACUCAUGAAAUUAUGGCUUAAUCUGCACCACUCAUAUACAGGGAAUUACGGUUUUCAGCCUCUGAUUACUUCCUGAAAAAACAACUUUUUCCAUGCCUGCUGCUAAUGAUACUUGUAGUGAUACACCGAAGAAUAAAAGAAGAAACAACUUUGAAGGUGACAAAAUUCUAAGUUGUACGCACCACCAGCUAAUAAUCGAUGUAGAUUCAAUUAAAAAAGAAUGUACCCAACAUAAUAUGUCAUUAAAUGAGUGAAGCAGUAAAGCAUUUCCAAAGGAUGCUAAAAAGUCGCUGAAAACAAUGUAACACAAUGAAACGUUGGGUUAUGAAACAAAGAAAGCUAUAAAUUUUACUACAACCAGGACGUCAAAGUGCUCUGUGAUUCUCUAUUAUGCAAAACUUUGUGCACAGCUCUCUAAGCGCGGACACCCCUGUUAAGAUUAACCAUGCGACCUGAUCCAUCCAUCUGACUUCCCCUCANNN
rnacentral:lncRNA from 1 species